CUCGACGACAACCUAAAACCCUACAUCUCCGGUUUUGGACUAUCCCGCCUUGAUCCGAAGCAAAUUCCGAACCAAGGUAUCGUGGGCCCCACCAAAAGCUCACUCCUCGCCUACGUGGCGCCCGAAGCUCGAGCCGCGGGGUCGAGGCUCACACAGAAAUGCGAUGUCUAUUCUUUUGGUAUCUUGCUUCUAGAAAUGCUCACCGGUCAACUCCCGGUCAACUACAAGAACGACGGUGGUGAUUGUAAGGGGAUCGAGGGAUUGGUGAGGAAAGCGUUUAGUGAGAAAAGACCUUUGUCGGAGAUUAUAGACCCGUCUCUAUUGCAUGAAGCUCGUGCGAAGAAACAAGUUGUUGCUACGUUUUAUGUUGCGUUGAAUUGUACGGAAUUCGAUCCGGAAUUGAGGCCGAAGAUGAGGUCUGUUUCCGAUAAUCUUGAUCGAAUCAAACUGCAAUGAACGAGCUAGCUAGGUAUAAUGAAAAUGAAUUAGAUGUGUUAUGUUGUUAAUUUAGAAAUAGAAUCUAUAAAAUGGUGGGAUUUGUAAGAUUAUGAUUUUUUUUUUCUUUUUCUUUUUUCUCGAAUAAUUUCUAUGAUUUAAUUUUAAAGAGCAAUAAAUUCGGAAUGCGCAAAUAAAUUUGAAGAAAAUUCAAAAACAAAAAAUGAGUGUAUAUGGAUAAAAUCCCAAUUGUAAUUUCAACGAAUUUGUUGGGUAAAUUACAAACACCCCCCUGAGGUAUGACCAAAUUACAAAAACACCCCUCUUGUUUGGAUAAUUACAACCACCCCCCUCAACUCAUCAAAUUUAGUGGAAUCUUCGAGAUUAUAUGGAAUAUUAUCACUUUUGUACCCGUUUUAUCUCAUUCAAACUUUACAUUAUGAAGCAAGAUGACCAUAAUAUGUGAUUUUUAGCUUGUACAUAUCAGUUUGUGGUGCAUCGAAAACUGUAUUUUUUACACAAAGAGUACAAACUAGAGCACAUUUCACGGAAUCUAGAUGACUAUGUUGAAUUUGGCACCAUAAAGGUAAGAAAAAAUCAUAGUUGAGGGGGGUAAAUGUAAUUAUCCAAACAAGAGGGGGUUUUUUGUAAUUUAACCAUACCUCAGGGGGUGUUUGUAAUUUACCCCGAAUUUGUUUUAUUAAAAAUUGAAAAAUUUAAUCAAAAUAGAAAAAAAUCAAAAAAUUAUCAUAAAUGAAAAGAUGAUAAGUUGUCUGCCUCCAUAUAUUCGAUCAACAAGAAUUUAUGUUUCCUUAUCCAAAUUACAAUUAUUGGGCAUCUAAUUCGAAUUGUAUAACUCUCAACUGUUACACGUUUCAAUUUUAUUUUAUUUUAAUUUUUUUCAAUUUUAAUUUUAUUAUUAUCUUAGAUUAGUAUUUACAUGAAAAAAAAAAUGAAGAAUAUGGUAUCAAAUUCUAAUCCAAUAAAAAGCUUCAAGUACAAGCAAUUGACAUAUAAUUGUUCUGUCUCACUUAUUACGUAUGUCUCGAUCGUACUUUGCACCAACUUACAUUCUCGGAAUAAUUUUAAUUUUAUCCCUCCGAUCCGGAGUUGUCCUAAUACUAUUCCAAUUUAAUGCCUUAUCUACUUGAAUUGAAUCUCACCAGAUUCGUAAAUACUAAUCCACAUAUUCUGCUAAUUAAUUCAUGUUCUUUAAUUAUAUUCUUUGUUCUAUUUGUUCUCCAACCAAUAUUAAAAUUCAAUAUCUUCUAAAUAAAUUGUCAAUGCCAUUUCUCUAUUAUUUGAAUUAUUCGAAUAAAUUGGCAAAAUUGGGUGGAGUGAGUGAUGUCAUGGUCUGCAGUGGGGGACUGAUUUCCACAGUGUUUGUGAAUCUGAUGCGCAGUUAUAUUAUAAUUAUUUUCUUAUUUUAAAAAAAAAUUAUUAUUUUUUGUCGUGGCUGUUUUUUUUUUUCCGAAAUUGUGGAAAUGCUACACCGAGUCACAUACACUGGGUAAGUUUUAACCAUUGAUGUGUUUAAAUAACCAUCACUAAGCACACAUAGUGUGUUUGAUUAUGUGCCGAUCAACAGUUAAUUAUUGUAAAAACAAAACCAUAUUUAAUUCAAAUAUUACUAAGAAAAAACAUUACCAAGUACAAAGAAAACCCUAUUCUUUUUUUUACAUUAAAGUGGGAAUUUGAAGGAAAAAAAUAUAUAAACUUUCAUAUAAAUAAUAUGCACUUAAUUUCUAUAUAGGUUCAAUUUAAUUCAAGAAACUUAAUUCCCACUUGCAUAUAAUAUAAAUCAAAAUAAAAACGUGUAGCAACAUCAGAAGUGUCACUCUGUACUUAGAUAUUUUUUGUUUAUUAAUAAUCCUCUGAAAUUUCCCUAAAAUGGCAAAUAUUUUGUACCAUACUUCCACCUCCCAUAAUACCUCAAAGAAGAAAAAAACUAUAAAGUAAAAAAAGCCUGCAAAUAAAACCUCAUUUACCAAUUUGCUUCCUAAAUCAAAAAAAAAAAAAAAAAGAAAACCCUAGUGAGAGUAAUCAAGAAAAUUCUAUCAAGACUCAGAUCUUUUGUUUUUCUUGCUUCAAGAACAAGAUUUCUUCAACCCCAACUGCUUAAAUAACAAGCUUGUUUCCAGUUUCCUUGUCACAAAGACUUACCAAAAAAAAAAAAGUUUUUUUUUUUUUAAUUUUUAUUUAUUUGAAUUUAUUCGGAAGCAUUGUUAUCAACUGUGAAUUCGAUGCCUAAUAAUAUAUUUGCCACCAUAAAUCCAAACCCUAGAGGAGAACACCACCACUUUCCAUUAAUGGAAUCCCAAAAUAAUUCUGGGCUGCUGAGAUUUAGGUCUGCUCCCACUUCUUUUCUUGCAGAUUUGGCUGAAAAGAGUGCUCAUGUAAUGGAUAUUAAUAUUGAUGAUAAUAAUAGUUGUAAUAAGGGUGUUUCUGGUAAUUAUACUAGAUUUCCUGCUGCCAUGAAUUCACAGCUGCCACCUCAGUAUCCAAGGCAUCAAAGUGGCGGCGGCGGCGGUGGUGGUGAAUUAGGGUCUUUGUCGGUGGGUGGUGGUGGUGGUGGUGGUGGAUUUGGUCUUGUCAGGCAGAAUAGCUCACCUGCUGGAUUGCUCUCUCAAAAUGGUAUUUUUUUUUAUUGUUAUUUUAUUUAAAAAAAAAUCAAUUUAUUUGUAGUGAUUAAUUUGCCAUCUUUUUUUUUUCUCAAUUCAGUAUGUAAUUAAUAAAUUUUGGUGCCCUUUUUAGUAUGUGUCUAAUUGAAUUUUGUAGUGAUUCUUAGUUUUUGGAUAUUUAAUUUAAUUUAAUUAUAUUAGUUUGCUAGAUUUUGUUCUUCCCCUAUUUUAUUUCUAAAGGAAUAUCAAUAUUUAAAAAAAAAAAAAAAAUCAAGAAACUCUCUUUUUGUUUAUCUUGAUUUUUGAAACUUUGCGAUUUCGAAAUGUAUUUAUUUCUUACAAUAAAUGAUCGGCGAAUUACAGGCUACGCCGGGGUAAGAAAUCACACGAACUUCCCAUCCGUGACGCCGUCGUCAUCUCCCUUGGGAUUAUUGUCUCGAAUCAAAGAGGUCGAAAACGAACACGGCGGGCCCCACAGCCCACAUUACACAAAGGUGGGAAAUAGCGGUGGUGACAAUUUAUUUUCCACUACUUCUGGAUUCCCAUUUGCUUCUUGGAACGACUCUUCGUAUUUUGCAGAAACGAACUUCACCAGUGGCAUCAAAACGGAGGUGGAUAACGAUCCCAAGCCAAUUUUUAUUACCGAGGUAAAAUAAUAUUGAAAACAAUAAUUUAAAUUUAAUCUUCGACAUGCAAUAUUAUUAUUGGGAUAUCGAAUUGAUUGGAUUAUAUGUGUUAAUUAAAAAAAAAAACAGAACGAGGAGCUUAUAAGAAAUAGGCCGUAUAGUUUGUCGCACCACUUAAGCCUACCCAAGACUAAUUCGUCGGAAAUUGCAAAUAUGGAGAAGCUGUUAAUGCUUCAAGAUUCCGUUCCGUGCAAGAUUCGUGCAAAGCGCGGCUGUGCUACUCAUCCACGGAGUAUUGCCGAGAGGGUAAAAUCGUCAAUUUAACUAGUUCGUAAUUUUAUUUUGAAUAGCAAGGCAAGCUCCACUAAUUGGAAUAGUUUAUGGUAUAGUACAGGUGAGAAGAACUAGAAUUAGUGAAAGAAUGAGGAAAUUGCAGGAGCUUGUUCCAAACAUGGAUAAGGUAAUAUAUAUAAUUAUAUAAUUAUAUUAUAUAUUAUAUAUACUAAGAAAAUUAUAUAAAUGUUUCUUGAAAAAAUAAGGUUUAUUGUUUUGGCAUAUGCAGCAAACCAACACAGCAGAUAUGUUAGAUUUGGCUGUGGACUACAUUAAAAGCCUACAAAAACAGUACAAGGUAUGUAUAUAAGUGAACCUCGAUAAAUUAAUAACCUCGUUUAAAUGAUAAUUUCUUCUGUUCCCGAGUUAGUAAAAAUAUAUUAAAUUAUUAACUCGAUAAUUUAAUAUUUCGCUAAAUUAAUAGAAUUUUGCUAGUCCCGAAUGUAUUAAUUUAUAGAGGUUUAACAGUAUAGUAUUUUUUUUUUUUUUGUUUUUUUGUGGAAUUGAUUGAUUAAUUUUCUCGUUAAUUAAAACGCAGAUACUUGGCGAUAGUCGAGCAAAUUGCAAAUGCUCGGCUUCUCAGAAGGUAAUUUUAAAUCAAACACACUGAUCGACUUCUCGCGCCCGUAAUCGAGAAAAAUCGAGGAGAUGAAGAAGAAAAUAUUAGUUACAUUAGGAUAUGUAUAUCCAACUCUGUAUAGGGGGUGUGAACAAUUACAUUUUCUUAUUGUAUGGAAUAUAGUUCAUAAUUAUUAUUAAUUAAUUAUAUGAUCUAGUUAAAUUACGCCGUAUUUAUUUUAUUUUGUUUUAAUUUAUUUAAGAUAUUUACUUGGGCCUACCUAAAACCAUUAUUUCACUUUAUACUAGAGUUUCGAAAUUGGCCCACCAAAGAUGCUGAUGUUUGGAAUUUGUUAUGUAUCUUAUAUUUUAUAUAUAUAUAUAUAUAUAUAUAUAUAUUACAAAACUAUAAAGAUGUAGGCCUCAAAUGAACAGUGCAAUAAUAUUACAUUUCUAAUUAUUUUAACACAAAACGCACACAAAACGACGUCGUUUAAUCGGAAAAAAAUCCAAAUUAAGCGUAGACGCCUUUUCUUUUCCAAUUUCUUUUGCUGCUCAAAUUUAUGGUCCGCCCAUAUCCGUGGGCCCUUCUCUUAAUAUUUCCAGUAUUUUCCAUUUUUCUUUAACAAACUCACGCGAGUUGUGUUCAUUUACACGCGCUUGCUUUCGGCGGUUGUCAGUCUGCUUCUGCGUUCUCUCGCUUGUCAAUCCCACCUUGACGUUUGUAGCUUCCGGUGUAGCCUGUGGGACGUGGGUUUACACAAUCUUUAUCGUCUCAUUUCUCUUUCCAAUUUUACAUUCUCCGGAGGCCAUUUCAGUACCCAACUAAAGGAAAACCCUAAAAAUUGCACUCUCAAAGCAAACCGCCCGCAAAUCAUCAGUCAUUCGAUGUAUUUUUUGCACAUCCGAUGGAGGUUUUCAAUCCCCAUCUCUGUUUCGUGAGUACAACAACAACAAAAUAGGGGUUUUCUAACCUUUUUACGCCGAUGCCGAAAACUGCCGAGGUUGGAGUCGACCGGAGCUCGUGAAUGGGAAUUAGGAUUCUCAGCCAUUAGGUUCUUCGUUUCCUCCAAAUUAAAGCUGAGAAUAGGAAUCCUAAAUUUUUUAGAAGACCCAUUCUGCAGGGAAUAAGUGCAGAAUAGGAAGCUUUAAUUUGACCAGCCAUUUUACAUUCUUUCUCCAUAAAGAUGUUGUUCUUCUCGCUUCUCAGGUUUUAAUUUUAUGUUUUCUUUUAUUACUAUUUCUGUUUUUGGUUUAUUGCAUUUAGCACCCCUGAACCCUGCAUUUACUGUAUUUACUUUAAUUGUGACAAAGCUCCUCAUAUUAUAAAUAUUAGCAAAAACUCCCCUAUUGUGCAAUUUUUUAGCUGACUAUGGCUUUUUUGUUAAUAUUUAUAACACAGUGAGUUUUUCAGCAAAUUCGACAUAACACAGUGAGUUUUUGUUAAUAUUUAUAACACAGUGAGUUUCAGCAAUUUUUUAGCUGACUAUGGCUUUUUUGUUAAUAUUUAUAACACAGUGAGUUUUUCAGCAAAUUCGACAUAAUGCAGAGUACUAAAUACAAAUUAUUUAUGUUUUUCAGUUAGAUGUCCCUUUCUUCUUCUGGAAAUUUAACUAUAGUUUUUUUGUUUUAUAUAAGCCUCAUCUUUGGUAUCAACCUAAUUGAUGUAGUUAUUACAGGUCAAUUUUUUUUCUUAAAAAAGAUGGUUGUAUGUAUUUAUAUAAUAUAAUAAUCUUUGUCAAAAAAUUGUGGUAUUUGAAUUAUUAAUUUUUUACCUGAUUUUCUUUUCAGGGGAUGAUGGCACCAUUAAUGGGCAUGGUGAAUCCUGGUUGAAGAAAUUCCAAAAGGGAGAUUCACAGUUAACUAGACUUUAUUUAAUUGAAAUAAUGUACUCUGUAAAUGUCCAAAUAUCAAAUUUUUUUUUUUUUUGAGAUGAAACCAAAUAUCAAAUUUAACACUUGUUAAUUCACCAUCAUGGAAUGUUCAUCCUGUACUAUGUGUCUUUGUAAUUACUAUGCUUAUAGGUUUGGAUUGUUUAUUGAUAAUUAUGUUUUUGUUUAUAAGAGUUGGUUCCAUGGAGCACUUGCUAAUUUUCAUUUAAUUAUGUGUUUUUAUUUUGUUGUUUAUGUCUCUUUGAUGCAUACUAGAGUAUUGUUCUCUUUUGUAUAACAAUCGAAUUAAUUCAGCUAUACAGGGCAUUAUAUACCGCGCGUGGCGCGGUGUGGCCUCACUAGUAUAUAUAUAUAUAUAUAUAUAUAUAUAUAUAUAUAUAAUAAUGUAUAUAUUUAUAAUAUGUUGCCCAUCAUCUGUCACACCUCCCAACAUCCUUUGAUAAUAUUUAUUACUAUUUGUCUAGAUCAUGAAGAAAAAAACAAUUAUUUAUUAAAUUAUUCAGUAAACGAAAUAUACACUUAAUAUUUAUUAUUUAAUUAUUAAUUUUAUUAAAUAUAAAUUGAUAAUUUUAAAUUCGUAACAUAUAAUACAUAUAAUUUGUUUAUCUAUUUAAAGUGAAGGAAAAAGUGUGACAAGUUGUUGAAAAAAAUGGCAUGAAUGUAAAUGGUUUUAGAUUUACUCAAAAGAAAAAGAUAAAUGAUUUGAGAUAAGUAUAAAAAUAAAAUAAAAAUAAUAACAAUAAUAAUAAAUUGAAAGUGAGAAUUGGUCAAAAUAAAAAUGAUUAUAGACAUGAAAAAAGUAGUGGUAGAGGAGAAAAUUGGACCACUUUAAUUGAAUGAAUUGGGCUUUUCUUAGUUAGUUACACGGGCUUCCUCAUCUUACACGAGUGAGUUCACGUGCUUUCCCGAAAAAUAUCUAUUACUAAACGACACCGUUUUGGUUUUUUGGUUACGAAUUUACUCAUAAAGUCAUUAAUUACUAGCUAUAUUAUAUAUAACUCUAGUCAAAUAGUCUCUCGAGUCUCCAUGUCAUUUUUAUUUAUCAUUUAAGAUUAACAUAUUUAUCAAAUAGUAAAUUUUAUUAAGGAAAAAUUGGCUCAUAUUCCCUCAAAAUUAUUUUUUUAUAGUUUAAAAGAUACGUGAUAUUUUGUUAUUUGUUAAAUGUCUUUUUUGAGAGCUUACUUAAAAAGCGUAAACUAAAUAUUACAAGUAAAGCUUGAUUACAAAAUUUAGUGAGAGCUUAGUUACUUAACUUAGUUACGUUCGGUGAUUCUAUGUGUAUGUGUGUUAGUGUGUGUGUGUGUGUGCGCGUGCGUUACUCUGUGUGGUUUGUGUGCUCGUGUGCGCGUGCGUUACUAUGUAUUGUUUGUGUGCUCGUAUGUGUCAUUAUGUAUGGAAGAUCAAUUUCGAUGAUGACAACGAUGGGGAGGAUAGACAUGUGGGAUAAAAUAUGAACAAGAGACUUUUAACAAAAUGUCGAAAUCUGAUUGUCCUUAUUUAAAAGAUUAUUAGUGUACACGGAUGUUUAGCAAAUUGCCCGUAUUAAUAGCCAUUAUGGUAAAAUUAUCUUAUCGAUGCUCUAAGCUAAUCUUUAAUCACUCAUGCACUCUCUCUAGUCUCUAUGAGAUUUCAUUUUGAUUUUUUAAAUGUGUAUUUAAUAAAUUAUUUUAUAAGGUGAAUUAAAAAAACAUAACAUUAUAAUUGUAGACGUAGUAGGGAUCACUAUUUAACGGCCGGCCCGAAACUAAUUAAGAAUUCAAACCGGACUCAUGGGCCCAUGGGAGCCCCGUUCUUCAUUAGCCCACCGGUUCGCAAGCUAUUUAAAUUUAUUUAUUUAUAACAAUAUAAAAUAAAAGGAAAAAAUAUAGUUUUUCUCCUCAAGUUUGCACCAAUUUCAUAUUUAAUCCCCAUAUUCACAAAUAAAAUAUAUUUGGUCCUUUAUGUAAUUAUGUUACAAAAUUCAACAUUGUUAGUCCUUUCUGUCAAUUUCCCGUUAAAACUAACGGAAUCAAGCGUGUGCCCAUUACUUCCUUAACUAAAAGACUAACGGUAAGUUGACGGAAAAGACCAAAAAUGUUAAGGCUAUGUUUGUUACGCUUCUCAAAUUCUUUUCAUUCUUUCCCCAAAAUAAAAUUAUAUUUUUUAAAUAUUUUCAAAAACUUUCCCCAAAAAAAAUUCAAAUUUUUCUCUCUCUAACAGACAUGAUUUGACUGCUACAGUGAAAAUUGCCUUCACUAAAUUAAAAACUAAAAUCACUUUAUCCUUCAAAUUCUUCUUUCAAAAUAACUUUUUCCAACACAUUUUAGACAUGAUUUGACUUGCUACAGUACAAACUGUCUCCUCUCAAAACACAAACAAACUUUAUUUUAUUUUCAAAUUCUUCUCCCAAAACAUCUUUCUCCAGAAUAAAAUGGAAAUAGAAGCCCAAAAGCUUACCAAACAUAGCCUAAGUUAUUGGAACAUGAGAGACCAAAAGUGUUUUUUUGUGAAUAUGGGGACCAAAUGUGAAAUUGCUACAAAACUUUAGGGAUGAAAAAUAUAAUUUCCUAUAAAAUAAAAUAUUGUUUAUAAAUAUGGGAAAAAUACAGUUUUCAUCCCUCAAGUUUGCACAUAUUUCAUAUUUUGUCCUCCAUGUUCACAAAAAACACAUUUAGUCCAUCAUAUUACAAUAAUAUAAUAAUUGGUCAUUUCCAUCAAUUUACCCUUAGUCCGUCCAUCAGUGAAAGGCACGUGCUUGAUUCCAUUGGUGCUAUAGGAAAUUUGACUUAAAGGACUAAAAGUGUUGAACUCUUAAAACACGAGGGACCAAAUGUGUUUUUUUGAACAUGGGAAGCCACAUGUGAAAUUAGUACAAACUUGGGGGACAAAAAUUGAAUUUUUCCCAUAUAUAAAAAAAAUGAGGAAAAAACAAAUAAAAUACGUUUCCCCAUUCCCUUUUCUCAACUGAAAAACCGUUAAUGGGUCCCGCACUUACCGUUACCUCUGCUCCUUCUUUCUCUUCGUUCCAAUUCACCGACAUUCUUCUUUCACAAAUUUCCCCAGAUUGAAAAUCUGAUCCGAACCCUAAUUGCAAUUUCCAACCCAGAUUUCGAUUCUUUCUUCUUUCUGCCCAAUAAUUCAUUCAUGCAUUUCCAGCUUUCUUAAACAUGGACGAAAUUUCUGCACAAGGAUCAUUUCGCAGUCUGCAAAUUAAAUGAUCCAUUAAUUAAGAAGAAGAAAAAAAAUCAUAUUUUGGAAGAUUUUAUGCUGCAAAAUUGGUGGAUUUGAAGAGAAUUAAAGAAAGAAUAGCGAUUGGUUGCGAGUGACGAGAUGUCUAAUUUGUAUGGUGGGGAUUUCAAUCAGAAGAUCGAUUAUGUGUUUAAGGUUGUUUUAAUCGGAGAUUCUGCCGUCGGAAAAUCCCAAUUGCUCGCUAGGUUUGCUCGUAACGAAUUCAGCCUCGAAUCGAAGGCCACCAUCGGUGUCGAAUUUCAGACCAAAACUCUCCUCAUUGAUCACAAAACUGUCAAGGCUCAGAUUUGGGACACUGCUGGUCAAGAAAGGUUUGACCCCCCUCCCCCCCCUUUUCUUUUUCUUAAUUACGAUAUUCGUUUUUAUUUCGUCGUUGUUUGUCGGUUUCAGCUAUUGCAUUUUGGGUGAAUAAAAGUUAUCUCAUGAGGUGAUCAAUCAAUAUGUUAGUAGGUAGGGAUUGAAUUAUCGAAUAUUUGAAGCUAAUGUUCGAGUCGAAUGUAAUUUUGAUUGGACAAUGUACGAGUGUUCGAAUACGUGUUUUCAACGUAUCUUUUGAUUUGAAAAGGGUCAUAUUAUCUGGAUUAUGGGGUGAAAUAUAUAUAAGUAUUAUCUGCAGUUGCUUUCCCUGCAAUUUCCAACAGUUCGACCUACCCUUUUCGAUUUUUUGUAAUCUCGUUUUCUUGGUAGGUACCGGGCGGUGACGAGUGCUUAUUACAGAGGUGCAGUGGGUGCAAUGCUGGUGUACGACAUGACAAAGCGUCAGUCUUUCGACCACAUGGCCAGGUGGCUAGAGGAGCUGAGAGGCCACGCAGACAAGAACAUAGUCAUAAUGCUUAUAGGCAACAAGUCCGAUUUAGGUACUCUUAGAGCUGUUCCGACGGAAGAUGCUCAAGAAUUCGCCGAACGAGAAAAUCUCUACUUUAUGGAAACAUCUGCACUCCAGGCAACAAAUGUCGAGAGUGCCUUUAUGACAAUUCUGACGGAAAUUUAUCGGAUUGUGAGUAAGAAGACUUUGGUUGCGGGUGACGGGUCGGAUUAUUCGAAGUCCACUUCUCUUAAGGGUACGCGGAUCAUUGUUCCGGGUCAGGAUUCUGACCCGAAUGCUAAAAAGGGCGGGUGUUGCAUAGGCUCGUGAUUCUUAAUUUUUUUUCUUAAAUUGUGAACUUCUUCACUUAUGAAUUCUACUCUGUCAUAUUAUGUUUUAGACUGAAUCUUGUGAUUGUAGAAGUAGAGUAGUAAUUUUGUUUUUAUUUUUUUUAUUUUGGAAAGCAAUAUGAAUGGGUGAUUGUGAAAUGGUUUCUUGUACCAAAUGUAGGUAGUUUUUUGUUCUGAAUUAAGUUCUACGAGAUGCUACACCCGAUGAAAUGCUCUGGUUGAUUUUAAACCGUAGAUCUAUACAAAUAACGACUUACUAAACUCACAUUCACAAGUGUGUGCGUGUUAUUAUGCGUAUACUGUAGAUAUAUGGUCUAAAAUCACCCGGUGCAUCUAACAAACCCUGAAUUGGAUUUGGCAGUUCUUUUUUUAAUUAUGGUAAGUAGUCACUAAUUGAUAAUUAGGAAUGAUUUAGGCCAAUUAAAAAAAAAUCAUGGGACUUCUUAGGUUAAUCUUAUUUCUAGAAAGAAAAUUUUGUACUGAAAAGAGCAAAAAGAAAAGUAAUGGGUAGAAAAUAGUAAUUUAUAAAACGCUUACGGUUAAUUUUACGAAUUUUUUGACAACUACAGUUACAUUUCCAGAAAAUAAAUUUCCCUUAUUUAAGCAUAAAAAAUGCCGCCCAAAAUUCCAUUUCAAAAUUGGCAAUUCACCAUUUUAAUUUUGACCUAAUUUCUUCAUCUUCUUCAUCUUCUUCACACACACUGAUACACGCACAGAGCAGAAUCAACUCCAUGGUUAUGCUGUAAACCGUUCUUCAAUUCCACGACUGAAGUCGUCAUCACAAGAAUUAAUUUCUCAAGGUAGCAAAUUUGAUUUUUCUCAUUUUAUUUGGGGAGUUUCAAUUCGGGUUACAUGUUGGUAUAAAUGGCAAUCCCUCGCCGGGAAAUGACGUCAUUUUGUAUGGGCUCUGAAAAUUCUCAAUUUUGUUUUCUUUCUGUUCUUUUAUUAACCGAGUGAAGUUGUUGAAUCAUCAAUUUGUAUAGUCAAAUUAUCAUGAAUUGUGUUUUGAAUUUUUGCAAGUGUUGUGUUAGUGUUGCAUAAUUACACUAACAUAUACUGAUAUACAUUCUUUGUUUUUUUACAUAUAGUUCAAUUCAGCACUUGUCUCGGAAGAUGUUUGAUAAAAUGCCGGAGAGAAGAGACGGAAUGCCGAGGCAAGAGGAUGUUAUAGCCACUUACAGUAACCGAAGGCCGAUUUUUAGCAGUGGUGGCAGAGAUUGUGGGAGGGUCAAUUCAUUGGGUCUUGUUCUAGAAGAUGAACCCAAGGAGGGAGUAGCUACCGAAACUCCCUUCCGGUGGAGAGGCACAGGUACGGCGGCGACACCUGGACCAAUUGGAAUAGCUUCAGGGAGGGGUAGUAUUGUAAAUCCAAGAAUUGGGAUCACAGGGAAAGAAAACUUGUCACCUAUGGUGGGAAGUGGCCGUGGUAGCAUUUUGCCGCCUUGGUACCCGAGAAACCUCUCCAGGACAUCACUGCUGUAGUGAGGGUAAUGUUGGAAUUAUUUAUUUAUUCCUACUUUUUUUUUCGUUGAAGUUGUAGUCAAGGUAAUGAUUGAAUCUAUGUGUCGAUCGAUAUAGUAUUCUACGAUAUGAUCAUCAAGAAAGUCGUCUAGACUAUGAUAUGUUUUAACCAAUCUUGAGAUGAUUCUCUACAGGCAAUCGAGAGGAGAAGAGCCCUUUGUGAAGAAAGUGAAGGCCUACAAAACGAGCACGAUUUUUUGACGAUUUCUCAAAACCCCAAAAUUGGUAAAGUGCCAAAGAUAUUACUGCUAAAUAUCACAAAUCAAGAUGAAGGAGAUUCAGUUUCGUUAACUCCUCAAAAGAAGCUCCUAAACGAUAUUGACACAGUCGAAAAAGUUGUGACGGAGGAGCUUCGUAAGCUGAAGAGCACUCCCACUGCUAAAAAAGCCGAACGGGAUAAAAGAGUAAGGACUUUGUUGUCCAUGCGCUAGUUAAAUCUUGACCGUACGUUUCAAUCAAGGUUGAGAUCGAAGGGUAUCUAUCUGAACUGUGCUUAGUAUGGUUGAUCAUUUCUUGAUGAUUUAAAUCUCAGUUGUAUACUUGUAUAGAUCAUCACUUGAUGAUCAAACUAUAGUAUAGUAUGAUUACUAGCUUUUAUUACAAGAAUUCGUUUUAGUUUCGUUUACUGUUUGGAUCUUUUUGGAAUCAAAUGUGGUAAGAAUCUAUACUCUGCUGAUUUAUUUGUACGUAUCUAUUUUUUUUAGUCUAGUUAGAACGAGUCCCGAGUUUAACGAAGCCAUACGACAACUACAUAAAAGAUCACAAACAUGCCAUGACAAAAGAAUCAUACAUAUAAUUUCCGUCUCUUAUGUAAGAAAACGGCAUCAUGCUAUAGAAAUUGCCGGCCGUGCUUCAUUCUGUAAUAUUAAAAUAAAAUGCUAUUCUAUAAAUCAAAUUAAUUAAUCUUGAACGAAUAAUGUAGAGUUUACCAAGUCAAUACUCCUUUCUAUUAAUCCUCCAAACACAAUUCACACUUCCUCAUAAUUUGUAAAACCAUGGCUGAAUACAAAGAAUAUAUCAUCUUCUUCCUCAUAUGGCUAGUUCCCACUAUUAUAAUCCGAACCCUAAUCAAGAAACGAUCUUCUAGAACCCUUCCUCCGAGCCCUCCAUCGUUGCCAAUCAUCGGUCAUCUUCAUCUUCUAGCUCCAAUACCUCACCAAGCCCUAGCAAAGCUCUCGUAUAAAUACGGGCCCUUGAUCCACAUACACCUCGGUUCUUACCCUUGCUUAAUCGCUUCAUCGCCCGAGAUAGCGAAAGAGUUCCUCAAAACACACGAAAGAUCUUUUUCAGACAGGCCUCAAACUGUUACUACAGACUACUUAACUUACGGUUCACAAGAUUUCUCGUUCGCACCUUACGGGCCUUUUUGGAAGUUCAUGAAGAAGCUCUGCAUGUCUCGGCUUCUUGGCGGGCCCACACUUGACCUGCUUCAGCCCGUUCGGGCCCACGAGAUAAAGAGGCUCGUUCGAUUCUUGGCGAAAAAGGCAAGAAAUGGAGAAUCGGUGGAUAUUGGAAAUGAGCUUGUUAAAAUGACGAAUAACGUGAUAUCGAGUAUGAUAAUGAGUCAACGGUGUUCGGGUGAUGAAGAAGGUGAAGCUGAGGGGGUGAGGAAAUUAGUUCAGGAUAUUGCGGAGAUUACGGGAACGUUUAAUGUUUCGGAUUAUAUUUGGUUCUGUAAGAAUUUGGAUUUGCAGGGGAUCGGUAAGAGGAUGAAAGAGGUUCGUGACAGGUUCGAUGAAAUGAUGGAGAGGAUUAUAAACGAGCAUCGAGUUCGAAGGAGGGAAUCGAGCAAGGAAUCUGUGAAGGAUUUGCUUGAUAUUUUACUUGAUAUAGCUGAAGAUGGAAGCUCUGAGAUGAAGUUAACAAGAGAGAAUAUCAAGGCUUUUAUCCUGGUAAUUAAUCUAUAAAUUUAUUGUUCUGUUUUUUUUUUUUUGAAGAGAACUCAUAUAUUCAAAUGGUUACAUUUAGGAGUAGAAAUCGAACGGAUUGGAUCGGAAUUAGCACUUUCGGAAAAAUUCCAUUUUUUUGGAAGUGAAAGAAUCCGAAAAUUUCGAAAUCAAAAGUUCGGAAAUUGGAACGAAUAAACUUGUACCAAAAUCAGAAAUUUUCGGAUCGGAAUCGGUGGAAUUUGAAAAUUUCCAAUUAUUGGUCACCUAAAGUAUAAAAUGCAUAAUAAUAAAAAUAAAAAUGAUAUUAUACGUGUAAUUUUUGGACAAAAAGCGAAUUUUUUGGAAAUUGAAGUCCGAUAGAAUAUUCCAUUUCGGAUCCAAAAAAAUUGGAAAUAAUCUAAAUCGGAAUGAAAAAUAUUGUUCCAAAAUCCAAAAGAAAUCGGAUCAAAUCAUCAAAAUCGUCGUAAAUCGGAAAUUUCGUUCCAAUUUUCACCCCGAGUUUGUAUUUAUUGAUGGUGCAGGACUUAUUUAUUGCUGGAACAGACACAUCAGCAAUCACACUACAAUGGGCUUUAUCAGAGUUGAUCAAUCACCCUGAAAUAAUGCAAAAAGCGGCUCACGAAAUCGACUCCCUCAUAGGAAACAACGAAAGACUAGUCCAAGAAUCGGACAUUCCCAACUUGCCCUACCUGCAAGCCAUCGUAAAAGAAACACUAAGGCUCCACCCAACGGGCCCACUAAUCGUGAGGCAGUCGAGCGAAGACUGCACAGUUGGCGCGUACCACAUUCCCGCCAAAACUCGACUUUUCGUGAACGUGUGGGCCAUAGGCAGGGAUCCUAAUCAUUGGGAAAACGCACUCGAGUUUAUUCCAGAUAGGUUUAUUAACUCGUCCGUGCCGGAUUUGAGAGGGCAGCAUUAUCAUUUCUUGCCGUUUGGGAGCGGUAGAAGAGGUUGUCCUGGAAUAUCGUUGGCUCUGCAGGUUGUUCAGACAACCUUAGCUGCGAUGAUUAAGUGCUUCGAGUGGAAAGCCGACGGAGUUAGUACUCGUGUCGAUAUGGAAGAAGGGAUCGGAAUUACUUUGCCGAGGGCUAAUCCUCUCAUUUGCUCCCCUAUUAUCAGGCUCAACUCCAUUCCAUCUAGUAUUUGAUUUUAGUUCAAUUGCUCAAACAAAAAAAAAUUUACGGCCACCCCUGCGAUAAGGUCAAAUUACAAAAAAAACCCUCUUGUUUGAUGAAUGACAACCACCCCUUAAUUAUGAAUUUUCUUACACUUUCACCCUUGCGCUGUCAAAUUUAGUGAAAUGUUUAGAUUAUGUGAAAUAUUCUUCAGUUUGUACCAGUUUUACCCCAUUCGAACUCCAAAUAUUAAACGGAUGAUCAUAAAAUGUGGCUCUUGGACUGUAUCAAAUUGUGGUACAUCAAAAACUGUGUAUUUGCACAAAACGAGUACAAAGUAGAGAACAUUCCACAUAAUUUAGAAGAUUUUGUUAAAUUUGACACUAUAAGGGUGAUGUGUUAAAAAAAUUAUACUUGAAGAUUGUGAUUGUAAUUACCAAAUUAUAAACAGAUUUUUCGUAAUUUAACAUUAGCCAAGCGGUGACCGUAAUUUAUAUAUAUGGGUAUGUAUAUAGAUUACACAGGCAAUUGGCCAUGUUACUCCACAUUAUUUAUUACAACUUAGUAUUUCAUUUGACUACAUUCUAUCAUAAAGUCAACACUGUAUUAUCUCAACUCUCUCUAUCAAAUUGCAUCAGCUCCAAAUUAAUUUACCAUCGAGCCAUGGUGGUUGCCUUCCAUUGUUUCUUAUUUGUGCUACUUUCUCUCUCUAAAACUGCAUUGUCAGAAAGAUGCCACCCAAAUGACAAAAAAGCCCUCCUGAAAAUCAAGAAAGACCUCAACUACCCCCACCACUUCAUCUCGUGGGACGCAAAAACCGACUGCUGCAUCGACUGGAAAGCGGUGGGGUGCGACGAUAAAACCCACCGCAUCACCCAAUUCUACGCCGCAUACGCCGAUCUCAACCUCCCCAUCCCGGCGGCGAUCGGAGACCUCCCGUUUCUCGAGUACCUCAAGUUUCACAAAUCCGGGGUCACCGGAGAAAUCCCGGAAUCCAUAACAAAGCUUUCUCACCUUCAGUUUCUCGAUCUCCGGUGGAAUUAUCUUACAGGCCCUGUUCCUUCAUUCCUCGGCAAACUCAAGAAACUGACGUACAUUGCGUUGUCGUUCAACAAUCUCACCGGCUCGAUUCCAGCUUCACUUUCCGAGAUCCAGAACCUUGGAAGACUCCGUUUGGAUCGGAACAAGCUCACCGGAGGAAUCCCGGAGUCGUUUGCCGAUUUCCGGCAGCAGGAUUUCUCUCUCUACUUGUCCCAUAAUCAGCUGACGGGGAAUAUUCCGGCGAAGCUGGGAUAUGCUAAUUUUACGUGGAUCGAUGUUUCUAGAAACAGGCUUCAAGGUGACGUGUCGUUCUUGUUCGGGAAGAACAAGAGUUUAGGAGUGGCUGAUUUUUCGAGGAAUAUGUUGGAGUUCGAUUUGUCCGAGGUGGAGUUUCCGGCGAGUUUGACGGAUCUGGAUUUGAAUCAUAACAGGAUUACGGGCAGCCUGCCCGAGGGAUUGGCUGAGUUGGGCAGCACUCUUAACUCGCUCAACGUGAGUUACAAUCGGCUUUGCGGUAGGAUUCCGGCGGGUGGCAGGUUGCCGGAUUUUGAUUAUACGGCGUAUUUUCAUAACAGAUGUCUGUGCGGUGCUCCUUUGCCAAAAUGCAAAUGAUUUAUUUCUGUAUUCUGUUUGCAAAUAUUUUUAAAUGGGUAAAAUACAAUUUUAGUCCCUCAUAUUUGCACUGAUUUCACAUUUGGUCCCUAUGUUCACAAACAAAACACAUUUGAUCCCUUAUGUUUCAAAACUUCAACACUUUUAGUCACUUCCGUUAAUUUUUCGUUAAGACUAACGGAAUCAAGCAUGUGAUCAUCACUGCCUUAACUGACAGAGUAUCGGUAAAUUGAAGAAAUCAAGAAAAUGACAAAAAAUGUUAAAUUAUUGAAACAUGAGAGACUAAAUGAGUUUGUUGUGAAAAUGGAGACCAAAUGUGAAAUCAGUGCAAAUAUGAGGAACCAAACUAUGAUUUCCCCAUUUUUUAAUAGGGUAAAUUAUACGGUAAGGUAAAAUUACAAGAAAAACCCUUCAUGUUUGGGUAAUUACAACCACCCCUCAAUUAUAAAAUUUUCUUACAUGUACACCCUUUUGGUGUCAAAUUUAAUAGAAUAUUCUAAAUUCCGUGAAAUAUGCUCCACUUUGUAGUCGUUUUGUGCACAAAUGCAGUUUAAGAUACACCACAAUUUGAUAUUUACACGUACACAUCUUAUGAUCAUCUUGCUUCAAAAUGUGGAGCUCGAAUGACGGCUACAAACGGAAGAAUAUUCCACUAAAUUUGACACUAUAGGACCAAUGUGUAAGAACAUUCAUAAUCGAUAGAUAAUUGUAAUUAUCAAAAGAUAAGAAAUUUUUUCGUAAUUCGAACUCACCUCGGCGCGGUGGUAAUUUACCCUUUAAAGUUUAAACUAAUAUCUAGAAAUAGAUUCUUCACUAUGAGUUGGAAGGAAAAAGACAAGAAGAUGACCAAAUACUAAUAUGCAAUUAAUCAUUAAAAUCUGUUUAAUUAAAAUUAAUCAUUGAAAUCAGUGAGAGUUGACCAAGUGUAUUAAUCCUCCUCCAACACUUCCAUUACUCAGAAAUCAGAAACCAUGGCUGAAUACAUCAUCUUCUUCCUCAUAUGGCUAAUCUCCACCAUCAUAAUCCGAACCCUAAUCAAGCAACGAUCUUCUACUUCUAGAAGCCUUCCCCCAACGCCACGUGGCUUACCGAUCAUCGGCCAUCUCCAUCUUCUAUCCCCAAUACCCCACCAAGCCCUAGCGAAGCUCUCGUCCAAACACGGGCCGUUAAUCCACAUCCGCCUCGGAUCUUACCCAUGCCUCAUCGUUUCAUCGCCGGAGAUCUCGAAAGAAAUCCUCAAAACACACGAGAGCUCCUGCUCCAAUCGCCCCCAAAACGCCGCCAUCGAUUACCUCACCUACGGCUCACAGGAUUUCACCUUCGCACCUUACGGCCCGUACUGGAAGUUCAUGAAGAAGCUCUGCAUGUCCCGCCUCCUCGGCGGGCCCACCCUCGACCUCCUCCGGCCCGUUCGGGCCCACGAGAUCAAUCGGCUCGUUCAGUUCGUGGCGAGCAAGGCGGGAAACGGCGAAUCGGUGGAUAUUGGAGGUGAGUUUGUGAGAACGACGAAUAAUGUGAUAUCGAGUAUGAUCAUGAGUCAACGGUGCUCCGGCGACGGAGAAGGUGGAGCUGAGGCGGUGAGGAAACUGGUUCAGGAUAUUGCGGAGCUCACGGGUAGGUUUAAUGUGUCGGAUUAUAUUUGGUUCUGUAAAAAUUUGGAUUUGCAGGGGUUUGGUAAGAGGAUGAAAGAUGUCCGCGACAUGUUCGAUGAAAUGACUGAGAGAAUUAUCGACGAGCAUCUCGUUCGAAGGAGGGAAUAUUCGCAGGAAUCUGUGAAGGAUCUUCUUCAUAUAUUACUUGAUAUAGCUGAAGAUUCAGCUUCUGAAUUUAAGCUAACAAGACAGAAUAUCAAGGCUUUUAUCCUGGUAAUAAUUAAUCUUCUGUUUAUUCAUUCUUCUGUAUUUUUGAACAAUUAUGGUUGCCUCCCUGCACUUUGAUCUAAUUACAAAAAACCCUCUUGUUUUAAAAAUUACAAUUACCCCCUCUGAGGUUAGAAGUUGCAUAAAAUUGAUGUUAGUAGUAACGAAAUCUUUGAGUUGCCAUGAAUAGUUUCUUAUGAAUUCCAAAUUUAACCAUACCAUAGGGGUGUAAUUGUAAGAUUUUAUGGAAAUAUAAGGGACCAAAUGUGUUUUUUGUGAACACGAGGGGCCAAAUGUAUAAUACGUGCAAACUUGAAGGAUUAAAAUUGUAAUUUUCCUCUUAUUCUUCUCUUUUUUUUUUGUAACAAUUACGUUUACCUCCCCUGCGCUUUGAUCUAAUUACAAAAAUUCUCUUGUUUCAAAAAUUACAAUUACCCCCGAGGUUAGUAGUUGCAUAAUAUUGACCCCAUACGGUGUUAGUAGUAACGAAAUCUUUGAGUUCCCAUGGACAGUCUCUUAAGAAUUCCAAGUUUAACUAUACCAUAGAGGUGUAAUUGUAAGAUUUUAUAUUUAACAGGGGGCUAAAUGCAACAUUUGUAAUGGUUGUUCAAUUAAUUUUGUCUACAAAAUAAUGCAGAUAUAUCUUUUAAAUUUGUACACAAAAUAAACAAAAACAUUUCGUAAUUUAUAAAACAUGAGGGUCUUUUUGUAAUUAGAUCAAAUCUGAGGGGAUUUAACCGUAAUUUACGCUAAUUUGUAUGAUCUUGCCAGGACUUAUUUACUGCUGGAACAGAUACAUCAGCAAUCACACUACAAUGGGCACUCUCAGAGCUAAUAAAUCACCCUGAAAUAAUGCAAAAAGCGGCUCAAGAAAUCGACUCUCUCAUAGGAAACAACGAAAGACUCGUCCAAGAAUCGGAUAUUACUAAUUUGCCCUACCUUCAAGCCAUCGUAAAAGAAACACUAAGGCUCCACCCAACGGCCCCACUAAUCGGUAGACAGUCGAGCGAAGACUGCACUAUUGCAGGGUACUGUAUUCCGGCCGAGACUCGAUUAUUCGUGAACGUGUGGGCCAUAGGAAGAAACCCCGAUUAUUGGGAAAACGCGCUCGAGUUUAUUCCGGAGAGGUUUAUUUCGUCUGAGUUGGAUUUGAGAGGGCAGCAUUAUCAUUUCUUGCCGUUUGGGAGCGGUAGAAGAGGAUGUCCUGGAAUAUCAUUGGCUUUGCAGGUUGUUCAGACAACCUUAGCUGCGAUGAUUCAGUGCUUUGAGUGGAAAGCCGACGGAGUUAGUACUCGUGUGGAUAUGGAAGAAGGGAUCGGAAUGACAUUGCCGAGGGCUAAUCCUCUCGUUUGUUCUCCGGUUUUGAGGCUCAAUUCCAUUCCAUCUAAUAUUUUUUUUUAGUUCAAUUGCUCAAUAUAUAUAUAUAUAUAUAUAUAUAUAUAUAUAUAUAUAUAUAUAUAUAUAUAUAUAUUCUUACUUUUUUUAUUUGAGUACCUCAAUUAGUUUCACAAAUCCGGAGAAAUCCCGGAGUCCAUAAAAUGUUCAAGCUAGCUUGUAUAUAUAUAUUUAUCGAGUUUUUAAAAUUGUAUUUGGACUUGGUAAUGUUUAACGACCGACUUGAGCUCCAACAAGCUUAAAUCGAGUCCGAAUAAGAACCGAGCUCGAGCACUUUCAAUUUUUGUUCAUAUUUUUUCUAAUUAAAUUGGAGCUCGAACUUAAUGCUAACAAAAAUAGAUCUUCAUGCUUGGUUCGUGAGUUUGACAAAUUGAACUUAAACGAAACUUUUAAAGAAUAACCUCGAAUCGAAUUAUAGCCUAUCGGGUAAAUUAGUUUAAUUUUCGUGUCAGCCCCUAACUAGUGGAUACAAUGUUAAUUUUAGUUUUGUUACACAUAAAAUAAAUCAAACUUGAUAUCCAAAAAUUAUAUUUUCUAUAUAAUAUGAUUGUAAAUUAAAAAAAAAAAAAAAAAAAAAAAAAACAAACAAACAAUAUUGAGUAAUUGUCACGUGUACCGUUAUAUAGUUUGUUUUAGUGCACACCUGCUUAUUCUCAUAGGCUCAACCACACCGGAUUACAGCCCAAUUGAACUUCUCCAACUAUAAAACCGUCCCGCUCACAGAGCAAAGCAUGUUUCUUCUAUUGCGUUUUUCAUUCUCAGAUUUUUUAUUCUCUCUGUGAAAUCUAACCGCCUCUUUCUCAUUCAAAAAUUCAGCUCGUAUCUGCGUUCUCUGCCGUUACAAGGUAUGAUUAGAUUAUUCGCUAUAUGUAUACAUUGUACGUAUAUACCAUUGUAUGCGUAGUUACUGUGUGAGAAAGUGUGUUCGCGAGGGAAAAUCAAUUACGCCUUUGAGGAAUUUAGGGCUAUCGGACCAGCUGUUUUUUACUGUUUAAGCGUGUAGUUGUAUGUGUUUUGAAAACGGAAAUGAAAAUUAGCUGCUGAAAUUUCAUGUUUGUGCGUGUAAUUGUAUGUGUUCUGAGAACGAAAAUGAAAAUUAGCUGCUGGAAUUUCAUGUUUGUGCGUGAAAUUUUGUGUGUGUUCUGAGAACGAAAAUGAAAAUUAGCUGCUGGAAUUUCAUGUUUGUGCGUGAAAUUGUAUGUGUUCUGAGAACGAAAAUGAAAAUUAGCUGCUGGAAUUUCAUGUUUGUACGUGAAAUUGUGUGUGUUCUGAGAACGAAAAUGAGAAUUAGCUGCUGAAAUUCCAUGUUUGUACGUGAAAUUGUGUGUGUUCUGAGAACGAAAAUGAAAAUUACCAGCUGAAAUUUCAUGUUUGUACGUGAAAUUGUGUGUGUUCUGAGAACGAAAAUGAGAAUUAGCUGCUGAAAUUUCACGUUUGUGCGUGAAAUUGUGUGUGUUCUGAGAAGGAAAAUGAAAUUUCAUGUUCGUGCGCCUUUGUGUGCGUGUGUGUAAUGUGAUUUUUCUUCUCUUAUUUUGAAGCAACAAUGGUCAAUUGGCUUCGAAAGUUUUUAGUCUGCUUGGGUAAAGCCCAUGAUGCCAAUGCCGGUACCCGUGCCGAGGACUAUCCGGAGAAUAUAUGGUCGGAGGACCUUGUGAGGCACUCCUCCGGAGAAUGCUCUAUGGCGAUGGUUAGAGGGAACAAACAUGUAGAGGACCGUUGCCAUGUAGUGGUCACCCCAGCCGGUACAUUCUUUGGUGUUUACGACGGCCAUGGUGGCUCCGCCGCCUCUCAAUUCGUGCUUGACCAUUUACAUACUAAUUUCACAAGUAGCGUAUUUCUCCCCCCCCUUUUUUUUUCUUUUUUUAUUUAUUAAACGUUGUUUACUUAGACGCGAUUUAAAAAACUUUUUUUCUUGUUUUUUCUUUUUGGUGGUAGGGAUUUUACAAGAAGCAGGGGGGGUUAUGUCUGAUGAAGUCUUGCGGAAUGCAUUUUCUGAAACAGAAAAUGAGUUCAUCGAGUUGAUUCGAAAACAAUUUAGCCUAAUGCCAGCAAUCGCAGCCAUUGGAUCAUGCGUUUUAGUUGGGGUGCUUUGGGGGAAGGAUCUCUAUUUGGCCAACUUAGGUGACUGUCGAGCAGUGAUGGGUGGUUUAAUGGAAGGACAAAUUUGGAGGGAACGUGCGAUGACUGUUGACCAUAAUGCUAGGUCUUCAGAUAUAAGAAAAGAAUUACAAGAAGCGCACCCUGAUGUUCCGGACGUUGUUCUUAAGAGAGGCGUUUGGCGGGUCAAGGGCAACCUUCAGGUAGGCGAUGAAUUUAGUUUUUUUAAUUUCUUGUUCUUUUAGCUAAUCUAAUUUGCUUGAAUAUUAUUUCUGUGUUUCUUGCUUCUUGGACUUUUGCAAGUGACUUUAUUAAGAUUUGUAGUUAUUUUUACAUUCUUUAUGAAAGGUACAUAUUUGAAUUGUUAACCAGAUGAAUUCUAUUAAAACUAUUAUCCAUUGGGGAUGCUUACCUCAAAUUUCCGGAAUUUGACGAACGAGUGAUAAUAUUUUGUUUUUUUGGUGAAAUUAGGUGACGAGAUCCAUUGGGGAUGCUUACCUCAAAUUUCCGGAAUUCUCCUUGAACACUAUUUCAAGAUAUAAGAUCAAGAAGCCUAUUGUUCGACCAGUGGUGAGAGCUGAUCCAGAGAUAACGAAGACAGUUUUACACAAAGAUGAUAGAUUUAUUGUCUUCGCGACUGACGGGCUGUGGGAUGAAUUAUCCAAUACAGCGGUGGAUCUGAUAGUUAGAGGGGAGCCUCGACCGGUAUGUGAUCGUAUUUGAAUACCAAUACUAAUUAUGAAUAUUAUAAUUACUUGUUUGGUUUUUUUUUUAAUUGGUGUUUUAAGGGGAUUGCAAGGACACUCAUCAGAAGGGCACUAGAAGUAGCAGCGACCAAGAAUAAGAUGACGUACGAGCAGUUAAAGAGGCUGGACGAGGGCCAGCGUGACAGAAGACCAAUCCACGAUGACAUGACCGUCAUCGUGGUGUUUUUCGAUCAAGCAGCACCGGGUGAGGAACCCAUGGUAAGCUAUACCUUGGGUAAUGCUGGACCAUCAAGCAACCCCGGUGCUGGACCAUCUAGCAGCUCCACUGGAGCAUCAAGCAGCUCCAAUGCUGGACCGUCAAGCAACCCCGGUGCUGGAGCAUCAAGCAGCUCCAAUGCUGGAGCAUCAAGCAGCUCCAAUGCUGGACCAUCAAGCAACCCCGGUGCUGGAGCAUCAAGCAGCUCCAAUGCUGGAGCAUCAAGCAGCUCUAAUGCUGGAGCAUCAAGCAGCUCCAAUGCUGGACCAUCAAGCAACCCCGGUGCUGGACCAUCAAGCAGCUCCAAUGCUGGAGCAUCAAGCAGCUCCAAUGCUGGUAUAGUUCUUUAUUAUCACUAAUAAGCUUAUCCCAAUUAUGCUAAUUUUCUUUGCAUCACUAUUAUGGUUACAACCUGAUGAAACUGAGUGUAAACUCUGACGUUGAUUACUAUGAUUGGCACUUUUUUUUCAGAAAAAAAAAUCUUGUUAAUUAGUAGACAUUUUGAAAUUUGAAUUACAUUAAGUGCAGCCUGUUGAUUUAGUCCAAAAGAAAGAACUAAUAUACAACAAAUUCAAUUUUGUAUUUGCAGUUCAAGCUGUUCGUGGUAUCUACAGGGCCGAGCAGCUGGUACACUGGAAACCCGAAGCUUGGAUCGGAGUUCAGUGCUUCAAAUCAUCCAUAAUCAACCUGUAAUUUCUUGGUUAUUUUAUUUCAUAUUAUAAAUUCAUUUCUUAAACUAAGAGCAAUAUUCACAGUCAACCUCUUCCUUUUUCAGUCAACUUCACGGGCUGGAGCUCACUGGAAAUCUUGGGUAUCAGCUGUCCAAUCUAAAAACUUUGAAGCAUAUGUAAGAAAUUGUGGUUUAUGUAAUUUUUUUUAUUAAUUCAUUAGUAUUUUGAUAAUGUUCUUGUGACCGAUUUUGUGUAAACUUCAUUUUGACCGGGACCUUAGUUCAAAUAACAUUGAAGGCUCAAUCCCGUAUUGUUUACCUCCAAACCUCACACACUUGUAAGGACACUACUCCACUUAGCUUGUUGCCUUUUAGAAUUAAUAAUUCUAACUUCACAUGCUUUUGCAAGAAUUAGCUAUUCUAAGUCGUACUGUACUUAUUGCCUUGUGGAUCUAAAAGGAAUGUAAUCUAAAUCAGUAAACCAUAUUCCUUAUUUAGUAGGCAUUAUUUUUACUGAUGAUUCACAUAUGCAGUUUUACUGCUUGUCAACUUAUCAUUAGUGGUUGAAGAUGAAUAGGAUUUCAGCUCUUGAUUUGCCCCUUUAUCUGCUUAUUAUGCUCCUCUUUUGGAUCAAAGACUCAACCAAGUUUUCUUGGCUUUUUUUUUUUCCCAUUUUCACCAUUGCUGAGAAUACAAUCUCAAUCGCCUUUCAUCAGGGAUUUGUCGUUUAAUAACUUCACUCGAGAUCUGCCCACCUCAUUCAGAUCACUGACAAACCUUACAGGCUUGUGAGUUUUCGUCUUCUUCUUCAACAUCCAAUGACAAGAGUUAUAAUUUUCAGGUUUAUGCAGCGCAAUCAACUCACUGGAUCAGUGUUUUUCUUAUCCAAUCUCUCGCUUACUGACUUGUACGUCUUCUCCAAUAAAAUUUCAUAAUUUAUUCCAAUCUAGUUCAGUUGUUCAUGUACUCACCUACUCCGAUUUUCAGGAAUAUCGAAGACAACCAUUUCAGUGAUGUUAUUCCUGAAAACUUUCAAGCUAUAGCCGCCUUGAGGUAAUCCAUUUAUAAGCUUCUUCAUUCACCUCAUAAAUUUGAAACAUUAUAUUUAUUCAGGAUUGGUGGGGUCGCUCUCGUUGCAUCAUUUUUGGCUAUUGCACUUGUGGUGCAAAAACAUCGCUCACGUGGGAAAACACUCGGCAGCUUGGAGAGCAGUGAAAAUUCAGUGAGAUCUCUACCAAUCGGCACAGUCCAAGGUGAAACACAUGUCGUUUUAGCAAAACAUAAAACCAACUGAUUAAAAUGUCUUGUGGAUAUUUAUUUAUAUUCUUCUGAAAACUGUACACAAUAUAGCAGAGCUUCAAAUAACAACAAACAGCUUGGGUGAAGAAAACUUCCUCUGUGAGGGUUCCCUUGGUUCUGUUUACAGAGCAGAGUUUCUAGAUGCAUAUCAAUUGUUGACGAGAUGGGCUUCAUCGAAACCUCAUGACAGCACAUCAUUAGGACAGAUGGUUGAUCCAGCAGCUAUUAUAAGAACAAUCUCCUCCAAAUCUGCCUCUCGUUUCGCUGACAUCAUAUCUCCGUGUAUACAGGUACCUCAAAAAAAACGCCAUUAAGUAGGAUUACCAUAUUGUUUCAUUACAUAAAAUUUUACUGUCUGAAAAUGCACCAUCACAGCCUAAACAAGAAUUCAAGCCCACCAUGCCUGAAGUUGCCGAGUCUUUGAUGCAAAAGCCGAUUGCCCCAGAUGGCCCUGAAGUUGCUGACUCUUUCGAUCGAUCUCUUAGGUCAACCAAUACCCGUUUCUGUGGAUCACCUACUCUAAGCUGCUACUCUGUUUAAGAGUCAGUUGUAAAAUUAGGGUACAAGUGUUAAUAACACAUUGGAAUGUAAAACGGCAUUUCUAAGUAAAUAGACAAACACUUUGUCACACCCAAUUCUUUAGGUGGAGAUAAUGCAGAUGUUGAUUGAUAAUGUCUCAUUCAGUAACAUACAAAAACAAAAGUUUAAUGCAAAUGUUGAAACAAUUUUGUUUGCUAUUGUUCAGUACAAGGAACGUCGAUCUAGUUAUACAUUUAAGCCACUACUGAGCAAUGAGUUAUUGAUAUAGGUCUUCCAUCGAACAGUUUCGAAAGUCUCUUCAACUCUCUCGUUUUUCACUAGGGCUGCUUACUGCAAAAUUGAAAUUUUCUUAGAAAGUCAACUUUGAAAGUCAAACCCUAAUAUAGAUUCCACUUUCGUAACUUAACAUAAGAUGAAAUCACUUGAGUCGGGGCUUCGGAAGACAAUGAAUUUUGCAGCUCCACACGUUUGUUAUAUAUAUAUGUCUUUUAACUUCACCUCAUGGUGCUUCUUUUAACUUCACCUCAGUGUGCUUCUUUUCUUGUGAUAUGGGCUUUAGCAUGAAAGAUAACCUCAGUAAAAAUAAACGUAAUAAAGUAAGUUCACCUCUUAACUGCAGGGAGCCAUUUAACAAAUCCCAUUUCUUUUUUUCUUUUUUUUUUCUUUUUUUAUUACUAUGGUUUUUGGUAAUUCAUUUGCUCAUUGUUUAAUUCUGCACUGCAGUAGAGGAGGAGGAGGAGGAUGAUAUAUCAAGACGGAUGCAGUUUAAUUGGUUGAAAAAACUAAUGGCGCGAAAAUCAACAACAACGAGGAUCUCACAUCCCAACAACGAGGAUAACAAAACUCUGCAGGUUUAUUAAAUGUUAUGAAUCUUUGAUAUUAAAUUUUAUAUGUGAAACUGCAUCGUGCUCUUGUAUUAUAUUGGAUUUACAGUUCUAAGGGAAAUUAGGGGGGUUUUUCGAAAUGAGUACAAAACAAAACUCUGUGCUUCUGCAGGUAUAUAUAUGUUAUGGAUCUUGAUAUUAAAUUUUAUAUAUGAAACUGCAUGCUGUUGUAUUAUAUUGGAUUUACAGUUCAAAGGUUUUUUUUCGAAAUGAAUACAAAACAAAACUUGAACUCCAAGAAAGAUUAAAGCUAAGCGUCUUAUUCUGAUACAAGGUACCUCCGCCUCCACUUACGUUGCUAAUUAAUCACCUAUUCCAUCACUUAAUCAGUACGCAAUUUUGAUGUAUUUCAUUACUUAACUCAGGAAUUUCUAGAGAAAGAGGAUCGACGAUGUCGGACGAUAUUCGAAAACAGAAAAGGUGUUUAUGAAUGUUGUUGGAGAAACGUAACUUUCAAAGACAAUCCUCAAAUUACAUAAAUGGAAAUCGUUAUACAUCGCUAGUUUGGGGUGGGGGACUCGAGCAUUUCGAGAACCGGACUAAUAAAAUUAUGGCAUUGCAGAUUACGACCAAUUCAAGGUCAUCAGAUAUGUUCAUUGUUAUAUUUUCAAAAUUUCUCUUUGAAUUUAUUAUAAUCGUGUAUGUAUGUAUGAAUGAAUGAAUGAAUUACAUUUACUCCAGGAACAAGGAUCUAUCAGUGAUGCAUACCUGAAGCAUUACGAAUUAGCUCUCGGAUAUCAUAAAUAUGACACUAUAUAUAUAUAUAUAUAUAUAUAUAUAUAUAUAUAUAUAUAUAUAUAUAUAUGGUAAUUCUUGUGCAUUCAAGUUGCUGUUGAGAAUUGAGAUUGUCCACAAAAGCCCAACACUGCUAAUUUUAAAAUUUAAUUUUAGCCCUAAAAUAGUAUUUUUUGUUACAUGUGAACAGAGGAUACUUGAUGGAGGAGAUCAUAAGUGAAAUCGGACGGACGAAAAAGUGUAAUUCUCCCUAGUUUGUAGAAUUUUAAAUGAAAACAUUGUUAUAACGUUGGAAUUUUCAAAUGGGAAUCGGCAGAAUCCGAAAAUUCAGUUCAAGUUUAAUUUCUACCCAUGUGCCACAGAAACUCCAACUUCUCAAUGUUUUUCUGCGUUUCAGAAAUGUUUCGUAUCGAAAACUCGAAAACACCUGUCGGACACCUUAUGGGUCAUUUUGUAAUUAUUAAAAAGUUAGAAACAUGUUUGAAUAGCUAAUUUUCAAAUAUUUUUAUUGCUUCUCAAAUUAUUUACAUCGAUUCAAUGACCAGUUGCAAAAUAAUAGUUUAUAGUAAAAUUUAUUUUCAAUAUAUUUGUGUUUUUUUGGGUGAUUCUCUAGUUUCUUGGAAAGCCAAGAAACAAUCCAUAGUCUCCAGAUCCUCAGCUGGAUCUGAAUAUAGAACUUUAGCAUCCGUGUCUAGUGAAUUGGUUUGGAUCAAUCAUAUUCUUCAAGAUUUUCAGAUUUCAGUUGAUUCCAACUUGGUCUUCUGUGACAAUUUCGCUGCAGUUCAUAUUGACUCCAAUCCAACUUUUUACGAACGCACGAAACACAUUGAGAUCGAUUGCCACUUCAUUCGGAAACAAGUUACUCAUGGUUUUGUCAGACUUAUGCUCGUGCCUAGUCGCGAUCAAAUUACUGAUAUUUUUACCAAAGCACUGCAAUUUCCUCUUUUUUCUCACUUGUUGUCCAAGAUGGCCUUGAAGAACAUUUAUUCUCCAGUUCCAUCUUGAAUGGGAUGUUGGAAUAUUUAUAUUCACAAUUUUAUUUUUGCUAUAACACAAAUAAAAGUGUUAUAUGCUAUUAGCGUUUUUGUUAUUAGUUUAGUAAAUAGCGUUUUCUCUUUUACACGUGUAAAGACAUGUAUACAAACCAACUCUUUGUUACCGUUGGUUAAUUAAUUCCCUUUUAUAAAAAUUAGUUUCUCUUUCUCUCUCUGUAACAAACUCUCCCUCCUUCUGCAACAAUGGAGUUUUCUAUCUCCUUGUAAAAUUCUUCAAUUUAAUACCCUCUGAACUAUAAACCUUUUUACACGUUCACCCUUGUGAUUUCAAAUUUAGUGGAAUUUUCGAGAUUAUAUGAAAUAUUAUCACUUUUGUACCUAUUUUAUCUCAUUCGAACUCUACAUUUUGAAGCAAGAUUAUCAUAAUAUGUGUAUUUUAGCUUGUAUAUAUCAGAUUGUGAUGCAUCAGAAACUCUAUUUUUACACAAAACGAGUACAAACUAGAGCACAUUACACGAAAUCUAGAUGAUUAUGUUGAAUUUGACACCAUAAGGAUGGAGAUGUAAGAAAAAAUCAUAGUUGAGGGGUAGAUAUAAUUAUCCAAAUAAGAGGAAUUUUUUCAUAAAUUGAUCAUACCUCGGGGUGUUUGUAAUUUACCCCAUUUAUAUAUAUAUAUAUAUAUAUAUAUAUAUAUAUAUAUAUAUAUAUACAACAACUUAUUUUAUCCCACAAAAACCUCUCAAUUGAUUUACUAACACUUCACUUUUUUUUUUGUUUUAAUAAUCAUUAUUUUUAUUAAUAAUGAAGAAGUAUAAUAAUUAUAUUUCUUUGACGACAUCUUUAAAAUUAUUUUUUAUGUUUUUUUUUUCUCUAUUAAUUCUCUAAUUUUUCACUUUGAAAUGCUAUUUUAUGUUCGUCCCAGAGAAAAUGCUAGUAAUUGAAGACCCAAUGCAUAAGCCAAAUUUAAUAAUGGGCCCACCAAAUAUCUAAUCUCAUGUAUAGAAAAUUACAGAUCUGUAAUGCAACGGUGAUUUAUGGCUCGUGACGAAUUACAUAUGUGUAACGCAACGGUGAUUUAUGGUUCGUGACGAUUGAGAGCACAUCGGUUGUCAUGUAUUAGAGCGGAUGGUUAUAGCGGUAGAUGGCCAUUGGAGACAGUGGUGUGAGGUUAGUCUACGGUGGGAGGUGGUUGCAUCAAUCUAGGCCUCUUUGAUGGUGCUAGGGUUUUGGUUGGCGGCUAGGAUUUAGUGGAUAGAAGUUGGUGGCGGCUGCAAAUUGUUGGCGGCUAGGGUUUGGCGACGGCUGAGAGUUGUUUUGUGGCUAGGGUUUGGAACAGUAGACCGUAGUAAACUAUAGUAUACUGUAGUAUACUAUAGCACAAGUAUACUAUUGUAUCCCGUAGUAUAUUACACUAGACUAUAGUAUACUAUAGUAUACUACUGUAUUAACAACAGAUGAAAUCAAAAAAAAAAUAUUUAAAAUAUGUAAAUUGAAUUAAAAAAAAUAUAUAUAUAUAUAUUUUUUUUUCGUAAUCUUCAAUAUUACAAAGAGAAAAAAUAAUUUUUUAAUUGUGUAAAAAUUGCUACAAUGAAGAAAUAGAAAGAAAAAGAAAAGGAUAUUAAACGUGUUUUAUAUAAAAAGAAUUAAAAUGUUUGGUUGAAAAAAUUAAAAUAUAUUAAAUACUGACUAAAAAAACAAUAAAUGCAAUUUGAAUUUUAAUUAAUGUAAAUUUCGAAUUUGUGUGUUGGAGGGCAUUUUUGGAAUAAAUUUUAUGAAGGAUGUGUAGCAAAUGUUUAGUUUAGGUUGUCAUUUAGUUCUAAUAAGUUUUGUCACUAGGAACCUAUAUCUUAAGGCCCCUUUUUUCUUUUUGUAAUUAACCAUACCUAGGGGUGGUUGUAAUUUACCCUUAAGAAGUAUAAUAAUUAUACUUUCUUUAACGGCAUCUUUAGAAUUAUUAUUUUGAGUUAAUUGCAUAGAGCCUCCUGUGAAAAGUCUAAUUGCCGGAAAAGUCCUUAUGUUAAAAAAAUUAGCAUUGACCCCCCCUAUAAUGAGUUUUAUUUAGUCUACGGCCCCUUUUAUCAUAUUUUGCUAUUGACUUUGGUGAAAUGACUAAACUACCCUAAUUAAAAUACUAUAGGUAAAAUAUAAUUUUGUUUGUAUAAAAAAACAAGAAAAGAAAAAGAAAAAUAAAAUAAUGAGAGAAAGGGGCUGCAAUUCAUCUUCUUCCUCAACACCACCUGCUAUUCCCACUGGUGAGGCAGAAACUUUUGCUUAUUAUUCUUACUCGGCUCUAAAACACGGUCAACAUCAAAGAGAAACGACGAAUCCGACGGCGGCGGCUGACCCAAAUGUUAUCCAUGGUGCUGAGUUUUCUUCUUUGUAAAUCCCCCGNNNNNNNNNNNNNNNNNNNNNNNNNNNNNNNNNNNNNNNNNNNNNNNNNNNNNNNNNNNNNNNNNNNNNNNNNNNNNNNNNNNNNNNNNNNNNNNNNNNNGUGGCGGUAGGGGGGUGGAGGGAAAAAGCUCGUCAAACAGAAUGAGGAAGAGGCGGUGGACGGUUGCGUGGUCGUAGGAGGGGUGGAAGGAGAAUGGAUGGGAGGAGCGGUGGACAACGGCGAGGAUGCGGUGGAGGCGGGCGAGGGAGCUGCGCAGCCGGUGGAGAUACUGGAUAAAUUAAGAAACCUAGGAUAGAGAAAUUAAAGUGGAAGUGUGUGAAUUUGUGUGUGUUACUACGUGUUUUUUGAUUUCAAUGGGAGAGAGGGCUUUAUUGAAAAUAGCAGGGACUAAAUUGAAACUUUUGAAAAUUUUAUUUUGGUUACAAAAAUAUUGGGGUCAUUCUAUAAUUUUUUAAAUUUCUGAUUUAAAGGGUAUUUAAGUAUUUUCAAGCUGAAAAACACACUCCCACUCACAUAAAUGGCGAGUGUAUUGCACGAUCAUGGGCUAGGGGGUUUAAUGGCUUUGACUAUAUUUCAUAGGGGGGUAAAUGUUAAUACUUUUAACACAGGGACUUUUCCGGCAAUUAGACUUAUCACAGGGGUGCCGCUUGCUAAAAACUCUAUUAUUUUCUAUGUUUUUUUUCCUCUAUUAAUUCUCUAAAUUUUCACUUCGAAACACUAUUUUGUGCAUAAAUAAUUAAUACAUAAUUAAUAAUAACACAACAGGUUAAAGACCGAAGCCCAUGGAGACGGCUUUUGAGAUCCUACACCGGGUGAAAUACACCGGGUAGAUCUUUACCAUUCAUAUACACACAAACAUGCACACACCCACAUUGGUAUGUGUAGAUCAGCGGUUAAAAAUACACCCGGUGUAACCUUCACCGAGUAUAGGAUAGAUAAAACCCAUGGGGACCCAAUACAUAAGCCAAAUUUAAUAAUGGGCCCACCAAAUAUCUAAUCUCAUGUAUAGAAAUUCCUUUAAUUCCCAUAAUUAGAUGUAAAACAUAUUGUAACUUUGACUAUUAGUCCUCUUAAAAUAGAAACACUUUGACUAGUGAAAGCAAAAAGAUAUUCUUAUCAAAAUUUAUCUGGACCAUACAUUCUCAAUCCACGUGAAUUGCAUAAAAUAAGUGGGGCAAUAUAUCUGCAUGCUUCACUGAUUGAAAAUAUUAUUUUUUUUUAUUUUUUCCACGUGACAUAUUUUUAUGUACAUCAAAUUCAAAUUCGAAUUGGAAAUGGGGUCACACAUUUGGCAACACAAACCAAAAGUAAGAUAAGAUCAAUUUGCAAUUUGCAUAGUGGCUGGUCCAUAUAGACCCCGUUAUUUCUAUUCUACAUCCGAUGAAAAUUAUACUGGUUGUCUUUUUAUCAUCGAUCUACAUACAUUAAUAUGUGUAUGUGUUUGUGUGUAUAUGAUCCGUAAAUGCAUAUAUAAAUUAUAUAUAUAUUUAGCAUUUCAUCUUAUUUUAACUAAUCUUAUAUUGACGACCAAAUGAGGUCUUAAAGUACUACAAUAAUAUACUAAAACUAGUAUUUUAAAAAUCGGUCGAGACAGGCGAUUAAUCGGUCUUCGGGAUAGAGGCGGUCUAAAACAUUUAUUAUUUUAGUGUAAAGUUUUGGAAAACUGAGUUUGGCCUAUAACGAAAUUUUAGACGGUUCGAAGUGGUCAAACCGAGUCAAACUUGACAUAUUUUACAACCUUGGCUAGAACCACAAUAGUAGUUAAAGAUAGAUAGAUGUAAGGCCAUUUAAUAAUGGGCCAUAGUCAUAAGCAAAGUAACUUUCAAUGCUGUAAAUAGGACCAAACACUGUCGGCCUCACAUUUGAGACGGAAUACUUUGGGGAUGUUUGGUUUCAUUUCCGAAAUCAAUUUCCACUUCUAUAUCUACUAUUUAUAAAACUGAGAUCAUGUUUGUUUCACAAUUUUAUCCAUAAAAUCUGAUUUUUUUCUUAUCAAAUUUAUAUUGAAAAUACACUAUUCAUACUUUUUCAAUUUUCAAACCUACUAACCAAUAUAUUUUAUUCCAUUAACUCGUUUCUCUCUCCUCAUUAAUAUUGACACACUCUCUCCUCUCAUUUAUCUCUCCUCAUUAAUAUCUACACUAUCUUUCCUCCCAAUUUCUCUAUCUACUACUACUACUAAAAAUAAUAAUAAUAAUAAUAAUAAUAAUAAUAAUAAUAAUAAUAAUAAUAAUAAUAAUAAUCCUCAAUCAUUAUAUUCUACUUUUGCACGUACUUUCCUAGAAAAAAUUCACCAUAAUCAAACAUAUUCCCAUUUCUAUACCUACAUAAAACUAAAAAUACCCAUUCAUCCAAAUAUAUUCUCAUUUUCUACACAAAAACAAAUAAACUACUUUUUCCAUCAGAAAUUUUGAAAACUAGAAAUUCCCAUUGGAAGCAUAACCAAACAUUCCCUUUAUUUCUCAGUUAAUGAGUGGAGCAAUAUAUACACCAUGUGCUUGAAGUUGAUGGUUCACUAAUUGAUUCGUUAUUUAUUUAUUUCACAUCACAUAUUUUUUUGUACAUCAAAACUCAAAAUCCAAAUAUAGAUUUGGAUAAGAUAAUUAAUUUGCAAUUUUCAUAUUAAAUGCUUGAUAACACUAUUACUAUAAUAGUAAAUCAUCCAUAUAUAUAUAUAUAUAUAUAUAUAUAUAUAUAUAUAUAUAUAUAUAUAUAUAUAUAUAUAUAUAUAUAUAUAUAUAAUAAUAAUAAUAAUAAUAGUAAUAAUAAUAAUAAUAUAUAUAUAUAUAUAUUCAUCCUCCACAUAUUUUAGUGGGAAAAUUACAAGCCCCCCAGAUGUAUGGUAAAUUUACAAAAAAAUCCUUCUUCUUUGGAUAAAUACAUCUAUCCCCUCAAAUGUGAUUUUUUCUUACACCUCCACCCUUAUGGUAUUUAAUUCAACAUAAUCAUCUAGAUUUCGUGGAAUGUGCUCUAGUUUGUACUCGUUUGUGUAAAAAUACAGUUCCUGAUGCACUGAUAUAUAUACAAGCCAAAAAACACAUAUUAUGAUCAUUUUGCUUCAAAUGUAGAGUUCGGAUAGGAUAAAAUUGGUACAAAAGUGAUAAUAUUUCAUAUAAUUUCGAAGAUAAUACUAAAUUUGAAACUGUAAGGGUAGACCUGAAAAAAGAUUUAUAGUUAAAGGAUGAUUGUAAUUAUCCAAACAGUAAGGAUUUUCGUAAUUUGACCAUACAUUAAAGGUGGUCGUGAUUUACACUAUUUUAUUUAUAUACAUACAGAUGUGAAUGCAAGAAUCCGAAAUUCAAAAUUAUGCAGCAAUGGCCGCCGUCAACUACUCCCAUUGUUUCAUAAUUUCGGUUCUCUUUUUUCUCUCCUUCCACGCCGACACUGCAUUUUCACAGAGAUGCCACCCAAAUGACAAAAAAGCCCUCCUAGAAAUCAGGAAAUACCUCAACACUCCUCCAAACAGCAACCUCAUCUCUGCGUAGGACCAGGCCUGGAAUCGUUUGCAUCGUCUAUAUACAAAACGAUCUACCUCUCUUGUUAUUCAUCUUAAGGACAAACUCUCUUCGAUUACUCGGGGCACUACCUCUGUGACAAAUUUUCUUCUCUCAAUUAAGAAGAUCGCUGAUGAACUCACCGUUCUUGGAAAUCCUCCGAGUGACGCCGACUUGCUUAUCUACACGACCCGUGGCCUUGGACCAGCCUACAAAGAACUAAUCACGACCCUUCGAACCCGUGACUCAGUGAUUCUUUUUGAAGAACUCUUUGAUAAAAUCAUUGACCAUGAAUCUUUCUUGUUGUAUAAUGAGAAAACUGAUCUUGAACCAACACCACCAACAACCCAUCUUACCACCCACUCACCUAACUUUCGUCAUGCGAAACGAGCUUCUCACCAAGACAUUCUCCCCACUCCCAGCCAUUAUAAACCUCCAAUCUCCACCAACCGUCCAUCACAACUACUGUGCCAAUUUUGUGACAAACGGGGACAUGAGGCAAAGCGUUGUUUCAAGUUAUUUUCCCAUCUCCGAUCGAACAGGCCUUCGGCAAAUCACAGCACAAUGGCUCCAUCCCCUAAUGCUCCUUGGAUUCUCGACUCGGGUGCUUCUCAUCAUGUUACCUCUCAGUUGUCAAAUAUGUCACUACCAAGGUUGUAAAAAGCGGUACUCGGGUCGGAGGUGGUUAGGGACCGACUCACGAUUAAUCGGUGCGGCAGUGAUUAAUCGAUGUUAAAUCGGAAAUAAAUCGGUUUUUAAAAUUUAAUAUAAUAUAUUUGUAGAUAUUAUUUAUAAAUACUCAAAACAUAGAUACAAAAAUAUUUAAACAUAGUUAUAUCUCCAUCAUGUAUAUAUUCUAAUAGCAUAAUAAAAGUUUAAUAAUAAUAAGAUCAUAAUACAUAAAUAUCCUUAUAAAAUAUAAAUAAAAAGGCAAUUUUUUUGGAAUUUACAUACACUCUUGGCAUACAUUAUUAGUUCUUUAACAAUCAUAAUUAACAUAAACAAAAUAAAGUAUAAACUCAUUUUUUUUGUUAUUAAAAUCUCAACUUUUAUUUUGAUUUAUAAAAAAAAUAAAAAACCGAUUUUUUGCCGAUUUUUGCCACCGAAGUUUGACCCGCCUUAAAGGUUUGACCGCCUCAGACCGCCUUGGACCGUCUCACAGGCAAAAAAAACGAUUUUUCAAACCUUUACACUAAAAUCGUAAAGGUUUUGGACCGCCUCCGCCUCGGCGACCGAUUAAUCGGCCGCAUCGGCCGAUUUUUAGAACACUGGUCACUACACCAACCUUACGAGGGCCCCGACGACAUCCAAAUUGGUGAUGGUUCAGGUUUAUCUAUCACUCAUACAGGCUCUACCUCUAUUGCGCCUUCAUUCCAUUUAUCCAAUAUUUUAUGUGUACCAUCUAUUAAACAAAAUCUUAUAUCAGUUGCCAAGUUUUUCCGUUUCAAUAACACUUCUAUUGAAUUCUUUCCAUAUUACUUUGCUGUAAAGGAUUUGCGUACGGGGACAUCUCUGCUCCACGGAAGGAAUCGGCAUGACCUCUAUGAGUGGCCGACAACGACGGACGCAACCACCAGCCCUUCUAAGGCUCUAUCGACUGGCAUUACCUCUUCGACUUCUCCAACAGUCUGGCACGGGCGUCUUGGCCAUCCGUCCCUCCCCAUAAUAAAGUCCCUAGCUACCUCUGGUCUCCUAUCCAUCUCUUCAUCUAUGCCAUUAUCUUUUCAUUGUGAGUCAUGUCUUUGUAAUAAAAGCCAACGAUUACCGUUUGGUGAGUCAACUUUAACUAGCAGUGGUCCUCUUGAUCUUAUUUAUACUGAUGUUUGGAGUCCUUCUCCCAUUCCUUCUGUUGAUGGUUUCUUUUAUUACGUUAUCUUUGUCGAUCACUAUACCACGUAUAUUUGGUUUUAUCCGUUGCGUCUUAAAUCCGUUUUCUAUUUUUCGCAAAUAUAAAAUGCUUGUUGAAAAAUAUUUCAAACGGAGUAUUUCCACCAUCUAUUCUGAUGGGGGUGGUGAAUAUACAACGUUGAAAUCCUUUUUAUCCAAUGAAGGAAUUCAAUACUUAAAAACACCACAUCACACUCCCCAACAUAAUGGUAUAGCUGAACGUCGUCAUAAACAUAUUGUUCAGGCGGGCCUCACUCUCCUCCACCAAGCCAAAAUGCCACAGAAUUAUUGGUCAUAUGCCUUCCAAACAGCAGUUUACCUCAUUAAUCGGCUCCCUACACCUAUUCUUAAUUUAUCCACACCAUAUGAAAAAUUAUUCUCACAUAAGCCAAAUUAUAAUAAGUUGAAGGUCUUUGGUUGUCUGUGUUUUCCUUGGCUAAAACUGUACACCUCGAACAAACUAGAGCCGACCUCCACUCCGUGCUCGUUUAUCGGCUACUCCCUUAAUCAAAGUGCCUAUUAUUGCUUAGAUAUGAAAAGCAAUAAAAUCUACACCUCUCGUCAUGUUCGAUUUAUUGAGUCUAAAUUCCCUUUCUCCAAUUAUGUCUCUUCUACCCAAAUAUUUCCCUCGGUCUCGAGUCCCUGGCCAUCUUUUAUCGCACCAAUUCUGCCGGUACAGCCAGCUGCAACUGACAUUGAUUCUCAGUAACUCAUAGAUGUCAUGCAAACUCUCUCCGUGAGCUCAGGUACUUCUACCUCUUCCUCUUUACAGCAACAUCAUUCUCCCUCACCACCCCUUGACCCGCCUACUACAUCCACAUCUCAUCCCAUGAUUACACGAUCUAAAAAUAACAUAUUCAAACCAAAACGUAUUCUUCAAAUUUCUACCAGACACCCGCUUCCGGAUUCCAUUGAACACACAUGUCUGACCCAAGCAAUGAAGCAAGUUGAGUGGCGGUAGGCCAUGUCGGAUGAGUAAAAUGCUCUCAUUCGCAAUGGGACGUGGGAGCUUGUCCCUCCAUUUACGUCUCAAAAUGUUGUCGGUUGCAAAUGGGUUUUUCGCAUCAAACGCAAUCCGGACAACUCUAUCUCUAAGUAUAAAGCUCUUCUUGUGGCUAAGGGAUUUCAUCAACGUCCGGGUCUUGAUUUUCAUGAGACGUUCAGCCCCGUUGUCAAGCUCACGACAAUUCGAGUUAUUAUUUCAAUAGCAUUAUCUAAUAGCUGGCCACUUCGCCAAUUGGAUGUCAAUAAUGCUUUUCUCCACGGGACAUUAUCUGAGGACGUUUAUAUGCAGCAACCCCCGGGGUAUUUUGAUAAAUCUAAUCCGAAUUUUAAGCAAGCUCCGCGCACAUGGUAUAAUGAGUUGAAAGGUUUUUUGCUCUCGUAUGGGUUUCAUAACUCUCACAGUGAUGCCUCUCUCUUUACUUUUCACAAGGAAUCUAUUACUUGUUUUUUCCUCGUUUAUGUUGAUGAUCUGCUAGUGACAGGCAAUUGCAACAAAUUUUUACACACUUUUCUCUCAGCUUUGGGUGCUCGGUUCUCUAUUAAAGACCUUGGGGAUCUUCAUUUUUUUCUCGGCAUUGAAGUAAUACCAACUCCCUCGGGACUUCUUCUUACUCAACACAAAUAUAUUUGCGAUCUCCUUGAGCGAAAUGACAUGGCUGGUGCUAAAGCUUGCACAACACCCAUGUCAUCGAACCAACCACUUCAUCUUCAUGAUGGAUUUCCUGCUGCUGAUGCUACCAAGUACAGACAAGUCAUUGGUGCGCUUCAAUAUCUAUCUCUUACGAGGCCCGACAUAUCAUAUGCGGUGAACAAGUUGGCGCAAUUUAUGCACUCUCCAUCCGAAGCUCAUUGGACAGCAACCAAAAGACUCUUGCGCUACCUUAAAUUCACCAUCCAUCAUGGUCUCUUCGUAAAAAAGAAUCAGCCACUAGCUUUAACCGCCUUCACCGAUGCUGAUUGGGCCGGCAACCGUGAUGAUCGUACAUCAACUUCAGCCUACAUUGUUUAUUUAGGUGGAAAUGUGAUCUCAUGGUGCUCCAAAAAGCAAAAAACGGUUGCUCGAUCGUCUACGGAAGCGGAAUACCGAGCUCUUGCCUCAUGUGCUGCUGAAAUACUCUGGUUAAAAAAAUCUGCUAUUGGAAGUUCAUGCCACACCUACCUCAGUCCCGACGAUCUUUUGCGACAAUAUCAGAGCAACCUAUCUCUCCGUCAACCCGGUGUUGCACUCACGUAUGAAAUAUAUUGCUAUUGACUAUCACUUUGUACAUAAUCACGUUACCAAAGGGUCCUUUACGGUAUCUCACAUUGCUUCCAAAGACCAGCUCGCGGAUGCUCUCAGAAAGCCGUUGUCAUCCUCUCUCUUUGAUCACAUUCGGUCCAAGAUCGGUAUCUCCAAUGGGAGCACCGUCUUGCGGGGGCGUGUUAGAGAUUAUCCCGCAACAAACUCUUCAGUGGUUUACAAUAUGAAAAACUCUAAUCCUAAAAUCUCUCCAACCUAAACAACUCAAACUUAUCUUCUGUAAAUUCUAGUCUAAGUAUUAAUCCUUUGUAUUUGUAUAUAUAUAAGAGACACACGGUGUAAUCAAAGUAUCAAUGAAAUCUUUUUUCUAUGCACCUUUAUUAUUCUUCACCACGAAACGACUACUGCGACUGGAAUCAAGUGGUCCGAUGCGACGGCGUCACCAAUCGCAUCACCAUCUUCAACCUCCUCCUCGCUGAUCUCAACCGUCUGAUUCCGGCCGCCGUUUUCGACCUCGUAUUCCUCGAAGAACUCUACUUCCACGAAACAAAUCUCACUGGCGGAAUCCCAAGCGCUAUCACGAAACUCUCUCAGCUCAAAUACCUAGAUCUGAGCUUGAACCAUCUUUCCGGCACAAUCCCUACAUUCCUCGGCCACCUCAAAAACCUUGUAUCCAUCGAUUUAUCGUACAACAGAUUCACCGGCUCUAUUCCAACAUAUAUUCAAAUUAUUAUUAUUAUUUUUUUUAUUGUGUGUGCAUUAAAAUUAUCAGGGUAUAGCUAAGAGGCUUAUGGAAUCAGCUGCGGAAAAUAGUAUUUUCCGUUAGAUGUGAACGGCGGAUACUUGAUGGAGGGGACCAAAAGUGAAAUUGGACGGAUGAAAAGGUGUAAUUCUCACUAGUUUUCAAAAUUCGAAAUAAAAACAUUGUUAAAAAGUGGGAAUCGACAUAAUUCAAAAUUCAGUUCAAGUUUAAUUUCAACUUGUGUAACACGGAGACUCCAACUUCUCAUUGUUUUUCCGUAUUUUCGAAACGUUUCGUGUCGAAAACUCGAAAACGCCUGCCGGACACCUUACGAGUCAUUUUACAAUUUUUAAAAAGUUAGAAACAUAUUUGAAUAGCUAAUUUUCAAAUAUUUUUUGUUGCUUCUCAAAUUAUUUAUAUGAUUUAAUGAUGAGUUGCAAAUUAAUAAUUGAUAGUAAAAUUUAUUUUCAAUAUAUUUGUAUAAAAAUAUAUAAAAAGAAUUUGUAUAUACAUAAAAAUUUAUAUAUGUUUAUACAGAAUAUCUAUAAAUACACCCCUAUACUUUUAAUAUUUACACGUUUCUCCUAAAUUCACGUUUCCCCAUUUUCGGAAAACCCCGUUUCCCCGUAUCACAGUUUCUGUGUCCGUACCACAUAGAGAGUCCAUAUGCUACCCCUUAUAUAAACCUCAACUAGUGGCAUGCAUUAUAAACUCAUCUCUCUUCUAUCCAAAAAUCAUGGCCACUAUUUCCGGCCAUUCUCUCAUACUUUUGCUAAUUCUCUUCUUCUCCUUCAACUCUUUGGCAUUUUCAAAGAGGUGCCAUGCAAAUGACAAAAAAGCCCUCCUACAAAUCAAGAAAGACCUCAACAAUCCCUAUGAUUUAAUCUCAUGGGAUCCGACCACCGACUGCUGCACCUGGUCCUCGGUGGACUGCGACGACAAAACCAACCGCAUCACCCGAUUCGACACCUCCGCCGCCAAUUUCGGCCUCCCCAUUCCGGCGGCCAUCGGAGACCUCAAGUAUCUCGAAAGCCUCGCUUUCCACAAAGUCAACGUCACCGGUCAAAUCCCGGAAUCCAUAACCAAGCUCACCAACCUCAAAUCUCUCGAUCUCCAGUGGAACUCUCUCACCGGCCCUGUUCCGUCGUUCCUCAGCAAACUCAAGAAGCUGACGUACAUUGGGCUGUCGUUCAACAGCUUCUCCGGCACGAUUCCGGCGUCGCUCUCCCAGCUCCCGAACCUCGGCGGCCUCGGUUUGGACCGGAACAAACUCACCGGCUCAAUCCCGGAAUCUUUCGCCGAUUUCCGGCAGCAGGAUUUCUACCUCUACCUCUCACAUAAUCAGCUGACGGGGAAUAUUCCGGCGAGAUUGGGGCACGCCAACUUCACGUGGAUCGAUGUAUCAAGAAACAGGCUUGAAGGUGACAUAUCGUUCUUGUUCGGGAAGAACAAGAGCUUAAACACCGCCGAUUUUUCGAGGAACAUGUUUCAGUUCGAUUUCUCCAAGGUGGAGUUUUCGGAGAGCUUGAGGAAUCUGGAUCUGAACCACAACAGGAUUACGGGGAGAUUGCCGGAGGGAUUGGCUAAGAUGGGUGAUCUUAUUUCUCUGAACGUGAGUUACAAUCGGCUUUGCGGCAAGAUUCCGGUGGGCGGGAGUUUGCAGAGGUUUGAAACGACGUCGUAUUUCCACAACAAGUGCUUGUGUGGUGCCCCGUUGCCGAAAUGCAAAUGAUUUUAUUAUUAUUAUUAUUAUGGAAUAUUCCUGCAAAUUAGUAUUAUAUUGCAGAUGCAUUUGCGGCGCUUAAAUUAUUAAUUAAUUGUAAUCUUCAUAACAUGUUAUGAAUUUGAAAUAAAUUUUAAGCCCUUAAAUUAUUAAUUGCAAUCUUAGUGAUAUUAUCAAUCUAAAUUAAAAAUUGGGUAAAAUUCAUUUUACCUACCUGAACUAUACCCAACGUAUAAAAUACAUCCCUGAACUUCAAAAUGUAUCAAACCAGCCCCUCCGUUAAAAAUCCAUCCACCUCUGCUGACAUGGCACAUUGACUUUUAAAAUUAUAUCCAGUGGCAUGACAAGUGGCUUUUUCCGGACAAUUUUACCCCUGCAGUACUUUCAUAUAUGGUCUAAUUAGAGGGGUUUUUGUGAAUCAGUUAAUGCAAUUAAAUAUUUAAUUUUUAUUUUUCCUCAAAUAAAUAAAUAAUUAAAAUAAACUGUGAAUCAAUAUUUAGUUUUUAUUUGUGACUUUUUUUUUUGAGUAAAAAAGUAAAGUAAUCUAAUUAAAUGAAAAAACACAAUAUAAUUAAAAGAAGUCCUAAUCCAAUUAGCUUGGUCAGACCCUCCUAAUGGACUCAUCUCCUUCGCAGCUGCACCAUAUCACGACCCAAUUUGAAUUCUUCAAGAUUCAAAUUCCUGGAGAACACAAGAAACGAAUUCGGAGGAAAACCAAAGAGAAACCCAAUACAAAUCCCUUUUAAAAAGGUCACAAAAUCAGAAAUUGGGGCACACAAGAAACGGGUUGAUGUUUUCGUCGGAUUCCGCCGACAUCUUGGCCGUGUAGGGCGGAGCGAAGUCGGAGCUGCGCUGGUUUCGCAACGAAGAGUUCAAAUUUCUUCUGGAUUUCAUUUUUUUCCGGUCGCCACCGCCAACGGAAACCCAAAUAGGGGUUUGUGAGAAGCUUGACCUCCCGCCGGAAAAACAUGAGCUAAUCCUUAAUUUCAGAUGUGUGAAAGUAGGUUUUAUUGUUUUAUGGGUCAUGGUACUAGAGAGAGAAGAGGAACAAUGGUGAUGUGUUUGAUGAACAUCACUUCUGUAGAAAGAAAGAAAAGGGACGAAGAAGAAAGAAAGAAAAUGAAGGAUGAGGGAGAAAAAGUUGGAGAGAUAAUAUGACUGGACAAAAAUGUAAAAACACAUAAAAAACUAACGGAGUUAAAAAUUGUAACGGUUUUAACGUUGACUCAAAAUUCAGAGGGACUAUCUUGGUUCAUUUCAAAGUUCAGGGGGGGUAUUUUAUACGUUGGAUAUAGUUCAGGUAGGUAAAAUGAACUUUACCCUUAAAAAUUUAAAGUACACGUGAAAUAAUAAAAAGAUUUGCAUGUAUUAUUGCAUUAUGGCACGUGAAACUAACCCUAAGAUAUUUUUGUAAUAUUAUUUUAAAAAAGUUUUUCUUUCAUUUUUUUAUAUUCCACCUAAUCAUAUUUUUUUGGGUAAGUUACAACUAUACCUGAGGUAUGGUUAAAUUAUAAGAAACACCCUCUUGUUUGGGUAUUUACAACCACCCCUUCAACUAUAAAUCUUCUUAUACGUCCACCCCUGCGGUUUCAAAUUUAGUGAAAUCUUCAAGAUUAUAUGGAAUAUUAUCUUCGAGGUGUAAGAAAAAAUCAUAGUUGAGGGGAGUAGAUGUAAUUAUCCAAACAAGAGAGGUUUUUUCAUAAAUUGACCAUACCUCAGGGGUGUUUGUAAUUUACCCUAUUUUUUUUUUAUAUAUCUACAACAACUUAUUUUAUCCCACAAAAAUCUCUCAAUUAAUUUACUAACACUUCACUUUUUUGUUAAUGAAGAAGUAUAAUAUUUAUACUUUCUUUCACGACAUCUUUUGAAUUAUUAUUUUUGUAUGUUUUUUUUUCUCUAUUAAUUCUCUAAUUUUUCACUUUGAAAGCUAUUUUAUGCAUCGUCUCCGGAGAAAAUGCUAGUAAUUGGAGACCCAAUACAUAAGCCAAAUUUAAUAAUGGGGCCCAUCAAAUAUCUAAUCUCAUGUAUAUAAAUUCCCAUAAUUAAAUGUAAACAUAUUGUAACUUUGACUAUUAGUCCUCUUAAAAUAGAAACACUUUGACAGUUUGACUAGUGAAAGCAAAAAGAUAUUUUUAUCAAAAUUUAUUUGGACCAUACAUUCUCAAUCCACGUGAAUUGCAUAAAGUUUCUUUCUUGUACUCAAAUAAUGAGUGGGGCAAUAUAUCUGCAUGCUUCACUGAUUGAAAAUAUUAUUUUUUUAUUCUUUCCACGUGACAUAUUUUUAUGUACAUCAAAUUCAAAUUCGAAUUGGAAAUGGGGUCACACAUUUGGCAACACAAACCAAAAGUAGGAUAAGAUCAAUUUUGCAAUUUGCAUAGUGGAUGGUCCUUUUACUUAGUUAUUUCUAUGUUACACCCGAUGAAGACUACAUUGAGUGUCUUUUAUCGUUGAUUUAAACAUACUAAUACGAGUGUGUGUGAUUUCUGUCUCAGAGGGUUCUCAGAUGAAUUACCUUGUGCAAGAGGAGCUUUCCCAUUACUUCCAUUGACUGCUUUCACCAAUUCUCCAACUAAUUUGGUCAGAUCUUCAAUUUUUUGAUUAGUCUCUACUCUGUUUCUAGUCAUUUAUGUGUGCAAAUUUGACAACAUCUCUCCUAUUUCACUCUGUAUCUUUUUGUUGAAUGCUAAUUGCUCAUCCAGAUAGACUUCUGCAUCAAAUCUGGUGUUGUCUCCAGAUCCCGUUCUGACAUGACUCCUUGUCAUCAUUCCUAGCUCCUCGCCAGAAACGAUGGCUCUAGAUACCAAUUGUUAUGAUUUCUUCCUCUUGAUGAAUCAUGAAGCUUGAAAUUUACCUGCAAAUGUGAAAUAUGAUGGAUAUGAUAGGGUGAGAAGAAUGAUACUGGCGGCGGUUCUUUAGGCUUAGGUAGAGAUUUCUAGCAAAAGAAACUACACUAUAUUAACCUAAAAGUUACCAGCAAAUUGACGAAAAAAUGGCAGGCUCCUCUCUUGUCUUUUUAUACUGCAAAAGCAGGUGAGAAGAGAGGGGUUCAGGAGUGCUCCUCCUCAUGCAAAGUUGGUGAGCUGCCUCGGUGUAUGAAACGGUGCCGUUUCCCCAUUAUUCAAGCUGAAGUAAUAAAACGUGAAAUAAUAUAAAACGUGUCCACGCUUCUAUGAGUUGAACGACGUCGUUUAUUCCUACGGUAAUUCAAAAUACCGUUUAUUCUGUUACAACGUGUUAUUAUUCUGAUACAAGGUACCUCCGGAGGCGCCAGUAGUGUCGUGAAUUGUCAUUGGAUGAGGAUCAUACAUUAUAGGCAGAUUGAAAUCGGUGGAAAUGCUGCCUUUGUCGGAAUCUACGGCACCGCCUCCUCCACUUAAUAUACGUUGCUAAUUAAUCACCUAUUCUACCACUUAAUCAGUACGUAAUUCAUAGUACGCAAUAAUUUUGAUGUAUUUCAUUACUUAACUCAGGAAUUUCUAGAGAAAGAUGUCGGACGAUAUUCAAACGUAACUUUCAAAGACAAUCCUCAAAUUAUUUACAUCGAUUUAAUGACCAGUUGCAAAUUAAUAAUUUAUAGUAAAAUUUAUUUUCAAUAUAUUUGUAUAAAAAUAUAUAAAAAGAAUUUAUAUAUACAUAAAAAUUUAUAAAUGUUUAUACAGAAUAUUUACACUUUCCCCUAAGUUCACGUAUCCCCAUUUUCGAAAAACCCCGUUUCCGCGUAUCACCGUUUCUGUAUCCGUACUACAUAGACAGUCCAUAUCCUACCCCUUAUAUAAACCUCAACUAGUGGCAUGCAUUAUACACUCAUCUCUCUUCUAUCCAAAAAUCAUGGCCACUAUCUCCGGCCAUUGUCUCAUACUUUUGCUAAUUCUCUUCUUCUUCUCCUUCAACUCUUUGGCAUUUUCAAAGAAAUGCCAUCCAAAUGACAAAAAAGCCCUCCUACAAAUCAAGAAAGACCUCAACAAUCCCUACGAGUUAAUCUCAUGGAAUCCGACCACCGACUGCUGCACCUGGUCCAUGGUGGACUGCGACGAAAAAACCAACCGCAUCACCCGAUUCGACACCUCCGACGCCAAUUUCGGCCUCCCCAUUCCGGCGGCCAUCGGAGACCUCAAGUAUCUCGAAAACCUCGCCUUCCACAAAGUCAACGCCACCGGUCAAAUCCCGGAAUCCAUAACCAAACUCACCAACCUCAAAUUUCUCGAUCUCCGGUGGAACUCUCUCACCGGCCCUGUUCCGUCGUUCCUCAGCAAACUCAAGAAGCUGACGUACAUUGGGCUGUCGUUCAACAGCUUCUCCGGCACGAUUCCGGCGUCGCUCUCCCAGCUCCCGAACCUCGGCGGCCUCCGUUUGGACCGGAACAAACUCACCGGCUCAAUCCCGGAAUCUUUCGCCGAUUUCCGGCAGCAGGAUUUCUACCUCUACCUCUCACACAAUCAGCUGACGGGGAAUAUUCCGGCGAGAUUGGGGCACGCUAACUUCACGUGGAUCGACGUAUCAAGAAACAGGCUUGAAGGUGACAUA
rnacentral:lncRNA from 1 species